rnacentral:lncRNA from 1 species
UGCCAUAAUCUAUAGUAGUAGUAAUCCAUCAUGGCUUGCACUUAAAGAUCUUCAUAUAAGAACAAACCUUUUUCCAUUGUUCAAUCUCACCUGUGUGAAAAAUACAAAGAAAAAGCAUUUAUUCUCUUCCCUCUCGUAUUUUCUUUAGACAAAGCCAAAGCCUUUAGUCUCCUCCUCGUAUGCCCUUUGUUGACAUACAACGCUGCUGGCCGAGGAAAUUGGAUGCUAUUUUAGCUGCGUUACAAAAGCUGAGAAAAGGAUGAGAGUUAUAGGUCAGUCCACGUGAAAAGGAAUCAAUGUUGAUAAGAAAGAAAUAGACCAAAGACAAAACAUAAAGGAUUAUAAAGAACAGCAACGAGGGAAUGUCAAUAUUCUUUGGCCCAGACUUCUUUUGUUCCCCUCCUAAGUCACUGAUAAAAGAGAUGAUGUUGUGAAAACUACGGUGCUGUGACGAAAUUUGGUCAAAAAAUAAUUAUAAUUGAUGAAAAUAAUAGAAGAUAAGAACAAUUAUUAAAGAAACUUUAUUGAUGAAAAGAAAAAACUUAAAUAUAUUAACAUGUCCCUCUCCUAUUUAUACAAAUGAUGCUCCUGUUAAGAAUAUCAAGUAGAGCAAGAGCAGAUCGUUGCUGUUGCUGUGAGGGCACAAGCGUUCCUUUAAUUUCCCUUAAGUCCGUCUUUCGUUCUCCUUAAGUCCGUCGACCUCUUAGGAAUUUGACUGUUGUGGCAUUAGUCAUUGACCGAAGGCAAAGACGAAGCUUUACUUUUCUAAACGGCGUUGAUCAUUGGUAGUUAAGAAAAUCUUAUCUUCUAUCAAUAAUAAGAGACCAAUUAUAGUAUUAGAGUUCAAAUGCUUUAGAUAGAAUAAUGAUAUAUCUGUAUCAGAUUUAAUUCGUCUCCUUUUAUUCCACAGAUAUAAAUAUUUUCAGCAAUUACGUACUGUAGGUCUCUAUUAUAAGUGUGUCAAGUGUGUCUUGCAUCAACGAGUGAGUCACGUUUAGAUUUGAUUGAUCUGAAGUCAACCUGUCUGUAUACCUCUUGUUUGGUUUGCAUUGGAGAUGGCAUCUUCAGCACAUGAUUAGGAAUCCGAUUAAAGUUUCAUGAUAGCUUUCUCGUGGGCUUGUUUUAUUCCUUUAGUUUCGAUUCCUGCAACUUUCUAUCCCUUUCAUAACCACACUCCUUAUCUUUCUCUUGUCUUUAGGCUUCUCCAUCAGUCUCUGCUGCUAAAGGUGCUUAGUGGCAUUGAGUAGGAGCUAAAGCUUUAAAGAAAGUUGAUGUCCUCAAACCAAUACGACAUAGUGGCUCAAGAAUCUAUCGCUCACAAGUCUUAUAUGCUCAUAAUUAUGUUGCUCUCAAAUAAAUCCUCCUGACUGGGAACAUGAACACAAAUAGGUGACUGCCAAUGAAGUUACCAAAAGCAAGAGCUUGUAUUAGAAUAGCUUAAUGGAGUUUCACGCUUGUAAAAGCUGACUUGCAACGAAAUUAGAAUCUUAGGUAUGUGUGUUAUACUGCUGCAACAGAAGAAGAUUACACAGAAAUGUGCAAGCCAUAUGCUCGAGCAGCUGUCAUGUUGUCAUUAUCUUUAGCUAAAAGCACUUUAGCUUCGCUCGAGUUAAAGAACACUUUUCAGAGGUGAAUCCUUUUAGCUACAAGACAAUGCUCGGAUAGGACGAGAAUGACUGAAACCUCAAAGUCAAGAGAGCUUUUCUUUGCUUGGAAAUGCAUUAGUUGUUGUACACCUGAAUUAUUAUGCUUGAAGAGCUGCCGAAGAGAGCUCUUCUUCAUGCCUUGGCCACGAAUCGCUUGUGAUUAAUGCAGACCAGAGUUCUUUGCAUCAAUUCGCUUGUGAUUAAUUUGUAGCAUGGAAUCUUAUCCUAUUAUUUGGAAAGAUUGUGCUGUAUGAUCGAGAAUUUAGGACUGCAAUCGAUUGAGUGCUCGGUCUUUUCCUUUGUUUCUGACCCCUGCAACUUUUCUCUCUCUUUCUUAACCACUCUCCUUAUAUCUUUGGUUUAUCUUUAUGCUUUUCUACUUGGGCUGUUGAUAAAAGCUAUUAGGUGCCAUUGAUUAGGAGCUAAAGCUUACAAAAGCUGAGAUGGUCAUAGUUGCACAAGAAUCUAUCAUCAGGUAUGAAGAUGAUAUGCUCAUGAUUAUGUUAUUUCCAAAUCCAUCGUAUUGGGAACAUGAACAAAAAGGCAGAACCUUCUCCUCUACUAGUUGAGUAUAUGAACAUGGAGAGUUGAAGCAUUUGAGAAGCAACAUCUGCUGUUACAGGAAAGUCAUCAGCUGUAUAAUGACUGCUCUUCAUUUCAAACAAGAGAUCGCCUUGACACAAGAUUUGAAUCAAAUGAUACUCAAUGUAGCAUUCAAAUCUGCUGGUUUUUUAGUGUCAGGCAGGUGAAUGGCACGCAGGAGCACAUAGUUAAAGCUAACAAAGAGGUAACAGCUUGUAUUGGAACAGAUCAAUGGGACGCAUGCUGGUAAAAAGUGGAUUUUUAGACUCAGAUUAAAGUCUUGGCCAUGUGUGUCAGACAGAUUCCAUCUCUAAGAUUUCAAGAGUCCAGAAAUGUGCAAGCCAUUUGCCCAUUCAGAGCAAUCUUGAUGUCAAUGUCUUUUGCUAAGAACACCUUUAGACCCUUUUUACUAGAUGCCAAUGCAAUGCAUUCAAUCUUUCAUGUGUUGAUGUGUCUCUACCAUUAGCUGCUAUAUUGACAAGUUGGAUGAAGUUCUUUGGUGUGCCAUUUUAUGAGGAUGAAACAUGCAACGAAAAUUAGAAGUCUAAAAUCUGUAGAGAGAGAGAGAGAGAGAGAGAGAGAGAGAGAGAGAGAGAGAAUUAGGACACAUAUUUCAAAUCAAUGAUGUUAUCUCAUCUACAUGAAACUGCUACUCACCCAGCUUUUUUCUUGAAGGCAUAGAAACAGUGAGUGGCACGCAUUAGCAAAUCAAUAAAGGGAAACAUCCUCUAUUGCAAAAGCUCAAUGGGGCCGCAUGCUUGUAAAAAGUGGAUUUUUAGACUAAACUUCAAAAUCUUACCCAUGUGAGUUAGAUUCCAUGUUUAGGGGAACCAACAGAAGAAGAUUGUACAAAGAAAGAGAGAAAGGGAAGGAAAAUUAAAGAUUCCUGAAAUGUGCAAGCCAUAUAUGCUCCACAGAAGUUUUUUAUCCAUAAAAGUCUUUUGCUACAAGAUUGAGUGAGUUAUAUAGUUCUACAAAAUUGUCACAACAUGGGCUAAUUGGCCGUCAACUUUAUCGUCUGAGUUAAAUCAUUGAUUCGACUCCAAUUGUCACUAAACAAAAUGUUUAAAUUAAUAUUGAUAAAAUUAUAUUCAUCAGAUCCUAUGAGUCAAUCUAAGUGUGUCAUUUUACUUAAAUUUUACUCAUUUAACCUCCCCAUAAAAAUUAAUUUUUCAGUAAAAACUGAAAAUUGGAUAUAAUCUUAUGGUCUUUUGACAAAAACAAAUGUAUUGGUAUGUUCAAUGUAAAAAAAAACAAACAAACAAAAAUUCAUAAAUUGACUGAAAUUUAAAUGAGAUGAUAACCUUAUCGAUUCCGUCAAUAAAAUUUUAUUGAAAAAGUCCUAAGAUUUAAUUAUUCUUUGCAAACAAUAAACUGAAUCAAUCUUGACUCCUAAGAAACAUCAUACAAUUGAAUACAUAUGACAUGAAAUCAUAAUUAUCAAGAAUCGGACUAGACAUUGAUUCGAUCUCAUCUUUAGUCAUUGGGUCAUUGGUUGAGAUCGAUUGAUCGACUGAUCCUAUCGCAAGUUUAAUAUUUUUUAAAAUAAAAACAAAAAUAUAUUAGAUUAAAUAUAUUGAUAAUAUUAAAAAAAAGUUUAUAAAGAUGAAGUGGUUAUGAUCCCUAUCAACUUAAAUCUGGACAUCAAUCCAGCCAUUUUGUAGCUGUAUCUGUCAGGAUUAUUAAAGACUACGAAUGAAGACAGUAGCAAUUGUGAGGAGAAGAGCUUCGACAUAGGAACAUCCAUCCGUCCCAUGAAGCCAACGUAUUGUACAGAACACGCCUAGCUGCUAUUAUUUUGGCCAUUGUCAUCAUCUCCUUGGAGUAGAAUAGCAUGUAUCCACUCGGUCCCUCGGAUCAAUCGAUGAACUCGUUUGGUUCCCAUGAAGCAUUCUCGUCCAACGAAUACAAAAAGAUCCACUUUCUGGUUCUCCUCUCUCCUCUUUCCUUCUCUUUGCUUCGGUUUCGAGGAACAGAAAGGCAUGAGUUCUGAGCAGGAUGAUCAGCAACGUCGCGGCUGUUGCAGUAGCCUCGCCGGUUUCUUUUCUGUUCUCUCGGAGUCUCAGCACACAAGCAUGCCAAGACUCGAUAAGAAGGUAUCCGACAUCCACAAUUAUGUUUGUGUAUGUCUGUCUCUAUUGCACUGGUUGUUAUAUAGUCUCCUAUUUCUGGGCAAGAUUAAUGAGCUCAAAGAGGAGGUUCGACGACAGAAAGAGCUCAAGGAGACCUACAAAGCCCGGCUCGAGAGGACGCAGGAUUAUCUCAGGUACUGUUUAGAGGUGGCAAAGGAGAAUGGAUUCUUGCACCACAUGUCCGACGAUCAAGAAAGCACUCUCCCCACGCAAACCGACCAUCAGCAGCCAAGUUUACAGGCAGUGGAUGUGGUGCCGAGUGACCCUCGUUUGGCCGCCGUGAUGGAUCAAGCUAAGCUGAAUGGUUGGUACGUUGAACCGGAGGAGGUAAGUGCCGUCGUCUCCUCUUCUUGCACAAAGCUCUUGCUUCAGCAAUUAAAGCUCACAAUUUUUGCUUUUGUAGUUGUAAUGAAUGCAACCAAAAAUGAUCAACCUACACUAAUUAUAAAUGAGUUUUGAAUACUUAAUUUCCAAAAACACAAAAAUCUCGAAUCCGGUCGGUCCUUUGACUCCUUCUUUGUUCAUAUGCUUUAACAUUAAUGACGUCUUGUUCAUAUGCUAGCAGAUAGAGUUGCAUGAACAAAUUGGUAGAGGAACUACUGCCGAUAUAUACCGAGGGACAUGGAGAGGGCUUGGUGUUGCCAUCAAAUGGAUUCACCCCAGCGUCUUCGAUGCCAACGGAAGCGGCCAAGCCUGGUUCGCCGAAGAACUCCACACUCUGUCACGCCAACGCCAUCCCUACGUGCUGCAUCUCAUGGGCGCAUGCUUCCACACGCCACAAAAGGGAUGGCUGGUCACCGAGCUCUUGAGUGGGAAGACGUUAGCGGAAUGGCUGCAUGGGCACAAGGAGAGGCGAAGAGGACGGUCUGUGCCUCUUCCUCCUCUGGCGGAAAGGAUAGAGAAGGGACUGGAGGUCGCCAUGGCGCUGCUGUAUCUUCACCAACAGAAGCCCAGGGUCAUCCACAGGGAUCUCAAACCAAGCAACAUACUUUUGGACGCCGCUACGCACGCUCGAGUCACGGAUUUUGGACAUGCUCGGCUUCUUGCUGACGGAGAGCAAGCUCUCACCGGUGAAAUGGGUAAGACCGACAGACCAUGACUGUCACAGUACACAGUAGUCUGAUUGAUCGAUCGCGUGUUUCGUUUUGGAUGAUGAUUAGGGACUUUCGUGUACAUGGCUCCUGAGGUGAUCCGUUGUGAACCCUAUACGGAGAAAUGUGAUGUUUAUAGUUUUGGCAUCAUACUGAAUGAGCUGAUCACCGGUGAGCAUCCCUACAUAGAGACGAGCUUUGGUCCCGCUAAGGUACGAUUCAUUUACCUGCUCCGGUCCUCGAACGAUAUAUGUAUGUUAACGAUUCCUUCCAAAUAUGUGGUCUAAUCGCCAUGAAUGACUGAGAUCUAGUAGUCUAAUCUGUGCAUUUCUUCAUGGCAGAUUGCGCUCGAGGUGAGUGAAGGCAGGCUUCGGCCAAAGCUGCCCGAGCAUGAUCAUGAAUGCAGAGAGCUCACAGAGCUUAUAUGCUGUUCUUGGAGUGAUGAUGCUUCAGCUAGACCCUCCUUUGCAGCGAUCAACUUGGCUCUUAGGAAGAUCAUUGACAAGUUAAAGUAGUGGCCAAGUCCAAUUUGCAAGGCAUUUUUCUUACUGUUCUACAAGGAGAGGGAGAGGGAGAGAGAGUGGGAGGGAGGGAGGGAGGGUACAGUUUAUAAACUGACAUCAUGACAUGCCAAAUGAAAUAUGGUGCAUCUAUCUACUUCAGUUAGAUUGCCUUCAAGCAUAAGCCAAUACUGUUGCAAGGCAAAUACGAUACUGGUUUAUUUCGCUAAGAAACAAUAUUUCUCUGUUUAACUAACAAGAAAAUCCAAUUUUUAAUCCAUGUCAGUAUAUAAGUAUCAAGAAACCCUUAAACUGCUGGUACAAGAGGAUCAAUUUUCCAUUGGUAAUUUAGCGAAAAGAACCUUUCUGUAUAUAUGUAAAAGAAAUAUAGUGUAGAAUAGUACUUUGAAACAUGAAACAGGGAAACAUUAAAUUACAUGUAACAAGAUUGUUUUCUCCAAGCCAGACAUAUAUUAACACAAUAAAAGUUACUGCAGUAAGUAAAUUAGAAGAUACCCAAGUUCAUUCAAUAGUGAGCAAACCAAGUGUAGUUGGAGAGAGAAGUAUCAUCACAGUUCUAGUUUCAAGAAAACAAACAUAAUGACAAAAAAAUGGCAGUUAAUUACCACAGGUAUGGAAGUAUUGGUACUGGAAAAAAUUAUUGCAGUAUGCCACUAAAAGGUUUUAAGAGCAAUGUUUUUAUUAAUUUGUGAAAAAGUAAGUUCAAGGUUAAAUCACUGCAUAAAUUUUAUCAUGAAGUAAAGCGAACCAAUGGACUAGUGAACCAAGGCUCAGCCGGCUCAAUUCUCAGUCCGGAUUUGAUAACUAAGAUCAUUAAAGAAGUAAAUUGAUCUGAACCUUUUCAUGCAUUCUGCAACAUUAGCAACAUUAGAGUAGAACAAUAUCAACAAUUAGGCUAGGAUUAGGGAACAAAAUACUGCUGAUGCCUCGAGUCAAAAAGUCAAUCUAGUUAUAAAUAUGGGGACACCAUGGUAGGAGACGCAAAUGGAUUUCAAUUUCUCCAAAUGACUUUAAAGAUAUAGUAAUACUAUCAGAAGAAACAAUAUAAGUCAUGAAAACUGCAUUAAUAAAUAAAUCCAACUAACGCACCUGCUCCACAAUUAGCACCGCAAGUACAACACCAACUUUUGUGAAAAGAACACACGAGCUUCCAUGAUCCAGAAUGGAUCAUUUGACAAAGAAUUUAAGUUGUUUAACAAAAAUUCUCAGCUUCAAUGUCUAUAACAGAGAACAGCGCUUCGCUCAGAAUGGUACAUCUAUCUGAUCAAGAAAUAUCUGCAUAGAACUCAGCGAGUUGAAGAUCACUUCUGACUGAUGUAAAAAACCAAACAAUAUCUGAAGGUUGAGAAACCAUGGUGUAUAUUUUUUUUCAUAUGCGAAAGAACCAUAAAUUCUGAAUGAUGAAUUAAUAAACUGAGACCUCAGCAUCAAUAAAAAUAUCCUUGGUCCACUGCAACUGAAGCAUGAUAAAGCUCGAUCCAGAUUCUGGCAGUGAUAACUUUCAAGUUAAAAGUAAAAUGGUGGUUGUAUUAGACCAGAAUUCAUAAUUCAUUCUCCCCGUGUGCAUUAGAAAGAUACGAGAAUCCAGUAACAAUUAUGUACAGAGCUUUCCAAUCAAGUCAAGGAGGUAUUUGCUCUCCAUGGAAGGAUUAACUGUGUCUGUCUUCACAACAGUUAUUUUCACUCGCUGCUCUUCACCAUAGUGUUCUUCCUUGAUUUUGAGCCUAAAUAGGUACUGCUCAAAGAGGCAACGCCGAAUGAUGUCUCCAAACUUUUUAUCAUCAUGCUCUUGAUGUUUUAGCUGAUAGAGCUCCUUCGCGGAGCAACCAAUGAUCUCCUCUCCAGACUCCUGGAAGGCUGUCACCCAAGUCACUCCUGUAUGGUCCUGCACUUGUGCCUGAAGAAGAUACCGAUAAUCACAUUCUUCAAAUUCUUUAGAACAUCUAUCACAGCACCAGUUCCCACUAGCAAGCUUUGUCACCUUCUUAUUACAUGGCCUAUCACCAAUUAGUAAAGGACAAGCUGUGUAACAGAAAUUAUCUGUCUUGAUGAAUGAGAUGGUGGCUUUGACAGUCACCCAGUCAGGCUUAUUCCCCCUUCCAAGACCCUCAUCUUUGAUCUGCGACACGGUCUUCCGGCUAUCAUUUAAAGCAAGCCCAGGCAUCAUAUCUUUAGAAAUGGAGUGGCUGGAAGCAUCCUUUCCUCCUCCAUCAAACCAUUCUCUCAAGAUAUAAGUCUCAGGAAGAUCAGGAUCUAUAAAGAGUUGGGUGGAAGAAAUUGUGCCAACUGACUUACCACUGAAGUCACUAACCUUUCCUGCCUUCACAGCUAAUGCAGGGAAUAAACCAGAACCAAGCUUCUCCUGUAGUUGUCUACCUUCUCUGUUGCAGAAGUCUCCCCAUAAAGUUAGCUCAACACUUCGACCAGACACAUCCUUCAAAUUAAGAAUUCUUCUUUGUGUUUCCAUACCAUUCUUCCUCAGUAUUGUCAUCGAAGGGUUAAUAGAUUCAACAAUCCCAAUAAUAUCGAUGAUUGAAUUGUUCUCUGCAUUCUCUAUAUCAAUGAUUUGUCUGAAAUUAAAAUGUUGUGUUGGAAUAGAGCUGUCUUCAUCUGGACAACACUCCAAAGUUGUUGUCGACUCCAAAAAUAUUUCCCAUUGAUUGUUGAGGUGGUUAAAGUUCUUCUGCGCAGGUUUUAAGCUUCCCUUUGAAAUUAGGUAAAUCUUUCCAACCUCCACAGCUUCAUAGAACCGGUCAACAACAGCGUUGAAACAAGUUGCACGUAUCUCUCCUCCAUCUGAAUCAAGGAGAUCAAAGGAGAACACUUUGCCAUCUCCCUUAGCAUUAUUAUAUCGCCGGAUGUCUCCUUUGGCUGUCACUCUUGCUUUGAUGGCCCAUCGCCCCUGAUAAGGAUUUAGAGCAGCUAUCGGAAUUACCCUAGCAGGUGCUUCAUUUUUCAUGAUUGACCCAUAGCUCUUGUAAUUGGAUGGAGGCCGAUAGACGGAUUGCACAUUGAAGUUCUGGACUUUGUUGCCAGAGUUCAUUGCUGAGCUGGAAACAAGUUUUGCAGCCGGGACUAGUGACUGAACUCUUGAAUUCCCAAAAUUGCUACUAGAUGAUAAGUCAAGAGUCUCUGAUGCAAAUUCUGGAUGUAGUUUGCGAUUCCCAAUAGUCUCACAAUCUCUAAUUAUAAUCUUCAUUUCCAAAAUGACAAUGAUCCUGUGUCAUGACUGGAUCCAUUAUUAGUAAAAAAGUAAAAAAAUCUGAGAAGGCAUAUUUAAACAUAUGAAAUUCUCAGAAAAAGAUGCAUCAUGUAUAUCUCCCUACUAUAUGGGGUUGGCUACACCGACCUUUUUCUGCUAUUGAGUUCUAAUUAAGGAACCAUCAGAAUUAUGGAUGAAAGAAAGAUACAAUUUCUGCUUCAUUUUGAAGAUGAACCAAAAAAUGAUUCAUCUGAACUCUAACAAUAUUUCCACAUCAGACAUACUCUUUCUCCAAUUUGCUCCUCUACAUAUAACGUACUUACCAAAUACAAAAUAAGGACAGAUAUACAUAUAUUUACAAUAAAAGAAUAUAUUUUUUAAUUAUUUUCAGUGCAAUUCAAAAUCUCCAUUUGUAUCAAAGAGAAAGGGGAGAAUCAAAGAAGCGAUCGAUAGACAAACCUCUGGUUCUUGACGGUGCUGCAAACGUACUCCAGCAACUGGACGACGGACCCACUCCUCACCGCGCCGCUCUUUGCGGCCUCAUUGAAUUUGACAGCCAGCAGCGCUUUCUGCGCCGCGGAGCCGUCAGACACCACCGCCCGGUACCGCUCCUGCGGCUCAGCUAUCCGCUUCAAAUCCAGCACCUGCACUACAGGCUUCAGGUCGAGAUCGCCAUCGUUCACCGCCGCGAUCGCGUUCGCCGUCAACCGCGCCGCCAUCCCCCGCGUCCAACUCCCGCCUCACGAGCCGAUAAUCGAGAUGGAAGGCUGGAUCUGAUUCUUGCAGCUCCAAUCGGCGACGAGAAACCGAAUAAUAUGGGCAAGAGCUGGGAAUUCAGGGAUUAGAGAGCUUAGAAAUCGAUAAUUUAGGGCUCGAGGAGAGCCAAUGAGGUAUGGAGGAUAACCGAACACGGAGUUUCUCGGGGCCGUGAUUGUUACGGUUGAAGUGAAUUAAAAACUUAAGCAUAUAUAUAUAUAUAUAUAUAUAUAUAUACAUUCUAAGAUUUACUUUAAAAUAUUAUAAAUAAUCUAAAUAAACUAUUAACAUCUACCAAACUUACUAUGAGUCUAAGAAUAUGAUAUUAUAAUGAUAUAUGAGUAAUGAUAAUCAAUAAAAAUAAUAUAAUAUCACUGAUGAUAUUUUUUAUAAUAUUUACAGUAUUUUUAAUGUAUUAAUAAGAGAUUAUAAAUAUUAAAAAAAUAAUAUAAACGAUCCAAAUAAAAAUAUUGUAACAGUUUCAAUCGGUAAAAAUAAAAAAAUAAAAAAUUUAACAAAAGAUUUUUUGAUGAGUAUUUUUUUAAAUUAGGGGUAUUGUUUGAAAAAAGUAAAAAAAGGGAUGUCUUUUAAAAAAUACUUUUUUUUUAAAUCACACACACACAACAUAUAUAUAUAUAUAUAUAUAUAUAUAUAUAUAUAUAUAUAUAUAUAUAUAUAUAUGGAUACAAAUGCCUAAAAUGUAUUUAAAUAAUUACCUAAAGGAUACAAAUGAAUUUAUAUGGAUACAAAUGUAUUUAAAUAAUUACCUAAAGGAUCUUUUCUAUAAUAUAGUCAUGGUUAAAUGCCUAAAAUGGUAUACACCUUCUUGAUUACAAGUGUAAUUAUGUAGCAUUAUGAUGAUAUAUCGCGUGACGAUGAUGUGUGUGGAAUGAUUCACGUGCUAUAAUCUACCUAUCAAAUAUGAUACUUAUAUAAAAAUCUUAAGUUUCUCGAUUUCUUCCGUUCUAAAAUAUAUUUUGGGUGCUGACCUCAACGUUUAAUGUCUUAUCAUAAGAUAUUUAUUUUGAUAGACUAAAAUAAAUCAUUUAUGUCCAUUAAUAUAUUUGAUUAAUAUGAUUGAUGGUCAUGUUGUUGUGGCAACUCCUCGAGGCUUAUCAGCAAAAUUAAGGUGACGUAAGUAAGUAGACUCAUCGUGUGAGGGGCAUCGAGGUUUGACAUAAAGAAAGACUCAAAUAUAAAUGAUGUCAUUAAUAUCCACUAAUUAAGCAUGGCAAUAUUUGGUAAAAGGAGUGUUGAUGCCACGGUAAAAAUGGCAACAAAGGCAAUCAUCAUAGAGUUAUCCUUCCUUCCUAAGCGACAUGCUAUUGAAAACUUGAGUUGUCCGUAAAUGUAAACAAACGUACACGAGACCAUGGAAUUCGAUGCGUAGGGAUAAAGAUCUAUUACCGAUAACGAGGGGGUAGAACUCGCCGCCUGACAUGGGGAGCACUGACCUGCUAUCACAGGCAUACGAUCGGCGGUGGAGUAACUCGGGUACCCGAUCAUAGUGUCUAUGCCCCUUCUAAUAUUCAAAUAAACACUUAAACACUUUGAUAGGAAAUUAAGUUAGACCCAAUUCCAACCAAAUUAUAUGUUAAUUACGAAAUUUAAGACAUACACUAAGUUAAAUAAAUAUGGUAAGUCUAGGUUUCUUCCGGUGAUCUUCCAGUGAAUUUUUGACGAUCUCUCGGUAAUGUUCCAGCGGACUCCCGACAAACUCUUGGAUUUCACGACGAUCUUCUUAGCGAGUUCCGAUGAGCUUCGUUGGCUAGCUCUUGGAUUUCUCGAUUAAUUCCGACAGAAGUUCCGAUAAACGUCCGGACUUCCGACGAACUCUUGAACUCCCAACGAAAUCUCGUUCUUGACUCUGAGACUUCAUAUUGUUUUAUGCCUUGCUAUCGUAGUUAAUCCUGCACACUAAAACCCAUUUCGAUCUAGACAAUUAUUACAAAGCUUAAAUUAAGUGUUGUCCGGCAUAUCAUUGGUUUAUCGACGCUUCGUCUGAUUAUUCAGCGCAUCGUCCUCUCUUGCGGCCUAUUGCUCAAUCGGUCAGUUGAUCUCCGCAACUCCGAUUUUCUUAACGUAAUUUUCGCUCUUCUUGGUCCGAUGCCUGAACCCAUGGCUCGAAGCCUUCUGCUGUCAAUACAUCGAUCGAUUCUUCGACUUGACGUCCAAUUUUCUAACAUAUUUUUCUUCGGUCCAACAUGAUUCUUCCUACUUUAAUUAUUUUUACCUGAUUAAAGCUUCCUACGUCACUCAAAACACAGAUCAAAUAAACACUCUCAAUUGGUUUCAUCAUCAAAAUCCGAGAUUCAACACUAAUAUCCAAAUAAACCCCGCAAAUCAUCCAAAUCAACGGGCUAUAAUAAAAACCUCGAGUCCAGUUUAUCUAUUAAAUUUGAAAUCAGAUUCAAAAUAAUUAUAAGCGAUUUGGUUCAUAUAAAGUUUUUAUCCGAAAAUCAUUCAAACUAAAAGACUAUAAUGAGUUGAACUAAAAUUGAAACGGAUUGUUUUAUUUUUAAUUUUUUUAAAAAUUAUUUAUUUAUUAAAUUAUUAGAAGAUGCAUAUUCGCUAUUUGGGGUGGGGGGGGCAUUUAAUUGUUUAUAUUUUUGUUAUUCUUGAAACCUAAUUGAUGUCAUCGUUUCUUGAUCGGUUUGAUUCCAAUUGGAUUCUUGAUCGGAUCUACUCUAUGUAUAUAGCUAAAACCAAAACAAGACGGUAAAACGUCACCUCAUAUGUGGCUCUCGAAGAUGAAGUGACAUGAUGAUUGGAAAUAUAAGGCGCAAACUACCAAAGCCGUAUCCUUACAUUCAUAGUUGUCCCCUUUUGAGCCCUACCAAAAUGAUCGCAAUGUGACAACCCAUCGGACUGUGAUGUUUUGUUUGGGUUCCAAAUCGAUGGCCGGACCGGUAGGUUUCCAUCACGAGCGAUCACAUCUUCGUAGAUAUAUUAGUAUGAUAUUUCUCGCAAGUUUUCUUUACUCUCUCUUAAUGUUACCAUCUUUCAUUGACAAGAGAAAGUGAAUUCAUGAUGCAAAUGAUGUUCUAGUUAUCUAUAAAUAUAAAUACGAUAGUGAUCUAAGCAACUACUACUAGUCGAUUAAUAGAUGGGAGUGUUCACUACCUACUUUGAACAACGAAAUAAAUGUGUAGCUAUAUGUGGAAUAUGAAAGAAUAAUAAAAAAUAAUAAUUUAUUGGAGGAGAUAUCAUAUAUUAUUAGGAUUAUUUUUUAGAACAAUGGGUAUGAACUCAUGAAUGUAGGGAGAUUCUACAUCUACCAAACCAAAUAUAUCAAGGUUGGCAUAAUGAUUUCCAAAAUAUUAUUUAGGUUUUUUUUUUUUUUGCUACAUAAUAUUUUGGAAAACACUCAACCCACCUUCUUAAAAGGACUAGAAGACACCUUAUAUUUUGAUGAUUUUUCUUUCUUUUUUGAGUUCUUGAAUGUAUGAUGGCAUAGUGAUUUCCAAAAUAUUAUGUAGGUUUCUUUCUGACUUGUUAAAUAUGGAAUCAGAUGAAAUAGGAUUAUAAUGGAAGAAUAAAAAUAAUAUUUUGGAACCAUUAUUGAACCAUAAAUACUUUGAACUGAAACAUUUCAAUCACUAUAUUCCCAUCCAUCACUUUUAUGUUUCUUCCUUAUGAAGUCUCAACACAUUACCAUUCUUUUCUAAAGUUCCUAAUUGGAUACAAAACUAAAAGUUUCUUGGAAACUUUAUUUUCCUGGUCCACUAUAAGCUUAUUUCUUUUAUUAGUUUAUUGGUCACUGUCAUUCCAUUUAAAUAAUAAACCCUUAGAUUCUUAUACUCUAAUGCUAUAAAGAUGAUCUAAAAGCAUAGUGCAUAUAUGAGGCAGACCUUAUUAAUUAUUAGGCAUGUGAUGUGUGUAUUCCCUAAAGGCAGAAACAUGAUGUAGUUCAAGUGCUUUGCAUGAUCUGCACUUCUCCUUCACAUGCAUGAAUGAAUGCCUGAAUUCUCGUUCAAAUGCUUAAGGAAUGAGCAACAUUUCCACUUUGCGAUCGUAUUAUUAAUCGUCAUCAUACGUAAUUAAGUGAUGUAUUCUUUCCUUUUUCUACAAAUAAUAAGUUAUAAAGGUAGAAUUCAAGUUCAGAAUCUUGCGAUCGAUCAUUAAAGUCUUUAACAGCCAAACUAACGAUCAUUUUGAUCCCUUUUUUUUCUUUAUUCCGAUAUAUACUGUGAUGAAUUAUCUUUGGAGACAAUCUUUCUGAGUUAAGAUACUGUCAAGAGGCAAUGGUUUUAGGUCCAAUUCAGCCACUCCUCCGUAUCAAAGAAGGAAGCUACUGAAGUGAAGCUGAAAUCGAUGUCCGGCUGAAAACAAUCACUCCCGAUCCAGUCUUCCAUGGACGGCAUAUCGAGCAAGAGAGUGCUGUUGGGAGACAUGCUAAAACAGACAGCCUCGUCUUCUUCUCCUGGUACUAGGGGAACGCCGUCAAGAGAAACAUCACUUUGAGGAGCUUUGGAGGGGCUGGUGGGUUCGGCCGUCGUCGAUUCAUGACGCUGGUGGUCGAUUGGAGCUGGCAGGAGUCCUUGGUCCUGGUGGAAGAACGUUUUGGUGCACCUCUGGGCCUUGGUUUGGACGACGGAUGCAUCUCCAGCUGCUCCCGUUCCCGCCGUCGUCGAAUCGGCCAGGGAGACAUUCAGGAUGGGCUUCGUUUGGGAUGCGUUGCCGUGGACUUUCUUCCCUAGGGUUGUGUUCCAGUAGUUCUUGAUUUCAUUGUCUGUUCGCCCUGGCAGCCUUCCUGCGAUUAGAGACCACCUGGGAAAGAGAAAACAUGGCAUUUCUGGAUGAUCCAAUGUCUAACCACGCUCUUCUUUCAAUGAUUCGCAUUUCACGACAAGGUUUUAGGAUGUUUGGAGGUUGAAGUAGCCGUAAGGAGGAGGAUACCUGUUUCCAAGGAGCUUGUGUAGUCUGAUGAUGAGCUCUUCUUCGUCAUCGGAUAUGUUGCCUCGCUUGAUACCGGGCCUCAGGUAGUUGAGCCACCGCAGCCGGCAGCUCUUUCCACAGCGCUUUAAGCCUGGCAAAUUUGCGUUCAUGAGAGAGAGAGAGAGAGAGAGAGAGAGAGAGAGAGAAGAGUGUGUUGUUGUGUGCACGUCGACAGGCUAUUAGUUGGAAGCAACACAUCAAUUCUAUCCCAGUCUAGCAUAGAAGUGCACCUGCUCGUUUGGGGAGGCUCCUCCAUUUACCGUCUCCAUGAACCUUGAUGUAGGACACAAGUACGUGGUCUUCCUGCGCAGUCCACGCUCCUGUCCUGAGCCCUUCCCUUACGCAGCAUGGCUUCCUUCCCAUCUCUCUCUCUCUCNNNNNNNNNNNNNNNNNNNNNNNNNNNNNNNNNNNNNNNNNNNNNNNNNNNNNNNNNNNNNNNNNNNNNNNNNNNNNNNNNNNNNNNNNNNNNNNNNNNNNNNNNNNNNNNNNNNNNNNNNNNNNNNNNNNNNNNNNNNNNNNNNNNNNNNNNNNNNNNNNNNNNNNNNNNNNNNNNNNNNNNNNNNNNNNNNNNNNNNNNNNNNNNNNNNNNNNNNNNNNNNNNNNNNNNNNNNNNNNNNNNNNNNNNNNNNNNNNNNNNNNNNNNNNNNNNNNNNNNNNNNNNNNNNNNNNNNNNNNNNNNNNNNNNNNNNNNNNNNNNNNNNNNNNNNNNNNNNNNNNNNNNNNNNNNNNNNNNNNNNNNNNNNNNNNNNNNNNNNNNNNNNNNNNNNNNNNNNNNNNNNNNNNNNNNNNNNNNNNNNNNNNNNNNNNNNNNNNNNNNNNNNNNNNNNNNNNNNNNNNNNNNNNNNNNNNNNNNNNNNNNNNNNNNNNNNNNNNNNNNNNNNNNNNNNNNNNNNNNNNNNNNNNNNNNNNNCGUGCCACAUGCAAGGAUUGGUGUUCAGCACUCCUACCCGUUGUCAUCCCGUCCCCGUGGAUCUUCUUAGUCGGCAAGAACAGCGAUACCUGCAACUUCUUGUCUUUCCCCACCAGACGCUCCUUCACCUACUCCCUUCUCCCUGAGCUCCACGGCGUGCGGUAUGUGGGCUCUCAAGCUGGUUGGCUAGCAGUCUACAAUGAAAACCUGGAUGUCAGCCUCAUAAAUCCUCUAACAGCGGCUCGAAUCUGCCUCCCCUCCUUCCUCACCCUACCCAAUUUUGAGCUCGUCGGCGGCAGCUGUGUCCUUCCUCAUCUCAACCGAAUCUCCCGUUUUUUUGUUUCGAAAGUUAUCUUCUCCGCAAAUCCAACUACCCAUAAUUACAUCGCGGUGAGUCUCUAUGGCACUCCCCAAAUUGAAAUCGCCUACGCAAAAGCAGGCGGAGACAAGUGGAAUCUUCUUCAGACGACAUCGACUCAGAAUCGUUCAUACGAGGAUAUCAUGUACCACAAUGGGAAAUUCUACUGCAUAACAGGUGAAGCCGAAGUCUUCGCUUUUGACCUCAGUGGAGUUUCUCCCACCGUGACGGUGGUCGCCGAGAGAACGUCACUCGGUUUGACAUAUUUCGACUAUCACAUUCCUUGCUUCGGUGUCAUACAAAUUUACGGCAAAUACUUGGCGUGCUCGAGCACCGGGGAGCUGUUCCUGAUUUUUAGGCGCGAAGUUCACUGUCAUGAAUCGCUGGGAUGGAAGGGUAUCAUGGUUUGGAGGUACAAUCCUCAGCGUCAGCCAUGUUGGGAAGCUGUGAAGAACUUGGGGAAUAAGUCCUUGUUGAUCGGUAUCAACAACGCUAUAUCGAUUUCUACCGAGAAUUUUCGAGGUGUACGACGAGAUUGCGUCUACUUUAUGGAGGCGCUGGUCAGAACCAUAGUCGAUGACCGGCCCGAAUUCAUUCUUAGAAUUGGAGUGUUUGAUGUGGAACGGGGAAUGUGGGCGCGGGCAAACUAUCAGUUAGAAUCACACUCGCAGCCACCCAUCUGGUUCACUCCCUCCAUGCUGUGAACCAAGAAACGAGUAGUUCUUGCUCUUAUUUGACUUACAACUCCUACUACUACAUAUAGAGAUGAUAGAUACAUUACAGGCCACAGUAACUAUAUCAACUUGUGCUUUGAUAUUGUGCACAAGAAAAUGUUUUGCUUGAUUUAUGAAGUUGCACAUCUGUUUUACAAGUUUGAUAUGACCAUAGAAGAUGAAAGCAAGUUUUCCUUCAAGAGGAAACAACAUAAAGAAACAUGUAGAUGCCUUUUGCUCUUAUAUGAAAUUUUGAUUUUGAGUGAUUUCUUUAUGGCCUUAUCAGUCAUCAUUAGUUGUGGGUAUCACUAGAAUUAGUGAUUGAUUUGAGAUCCUAUACCUGCAGGUACUAUUUGAUGAGGUUACUGUAAUGAAUUAAAUAUGAAAGAAUUACAUCAUCUAAUUGGAAAUAAAGAAAAAUAGUUACUUAAUACCACAUGUUGCUGAAGACAGAUCUUACUUUGAAAAAGAUAGUGACUUGUGAUGUGUGAAUGAUAUUAUGCAAUUUGGUGAAAAAAUAAAGGACCCAAAAUCUUGAGAACUGCAGGAGAAGAAUUUAUCGGAUGAAAAAUAUUAAUGAGAUAAAUCAAACGUGCAUAUCCAUUUCUUGUCGCACCUUAUAUUUUAUAAAUAUUAAAAAGAUAAUUAUCGAUACUUGUCUUACCGCCUUACUACACUGUCGCUCUAUUGUGAUCGUUUCCGUCAAUCGUCUCCACCCUGCUAUGACUGUCUCAUUGCGCUACAUUGUGGGCUCACCUUUGCCACCAAGAGGUCCCGUAGCGAGACCUUCGUUGUCGUCCUCGUCACCUUCGUAUUAUUAUGAGACCAAAGUCAUCUCUACAUAGCCACAACUAUUAUUUGUGAAGCCCCCCUCCACAAGGCCCUAGCCUUGCCCUCGUGAAGCCUCCAUCCCCAGCAUCUACAUCCCAUGUUAUUGUUCUUAUCAUCCAUUUGUUCUCUAAGGACAAAGGAUAGGGAGGAGGGGAUGGGGUGGUCAUUGACGUUGCAAAAGGUGACGAGGUAUGGUCGUCCGUGAUGCCCAUAGUCUCACCCUCGACUUUCCAUUGCACUCUUCGAAUGCAUCAUGCCUUAUCUCCUCUUAUACCGCCAACUCUCGUGCCCUCUAUCAUAGCUUUUUCCCUUCACCCAUUUUCAACAAAUAUCUAUUCUCUUUUUCUCUUGUGAUCUUCUCCCUAUGCACCAGCCUACCCUUGCCCACUUUCACCAUAGUACCAUGCUCACAUCCUUCAUCGUCAUCACCACAUCUAACUUCUACUAAAGAGCCCAACGAGGAACUAUUUGACCUAAGAUUUUGGUCCUCUCUAACAAGCCCUCGAGCAAGAAGCACUAGGGACCAUCAACAUCACGAUCGACAUCGAAGAAUAAUGCACUGGGGCCUCUUUGCCACCCAUAAGAACUACUAUCGACUCGCCUCCAAGCCAUUGGCCAACUCAUAUACUUGUGCUUCGAUGAGCGCUCCACAAGAGGUGGCAAAGGGAUUUUGUGGAGGGGCAUCGGGAAUGGAGGUGGUGACCAUGUGGAGGGUUGGAGGUGACAUUGCGAAGGUGACAAAGGUGACAACGAUAAUGACAAGGGCCUCACAAUAAUAGAGAUGACUCGUAACAUGACGAGAUAGUGGGGAGAGGCGAAGAUAACCACAGUAGGAUGACAAUCGAAAAGGCGAAGAUUAGGAGUAAUCUCAUCUUUUAAAAAAUAAGGGAUAUUUUAUGAAAUAAAAAAAAAGCAGAACACUCUAUAAAAAAAAAGUAAAAACUUAGGGUUUUUUUUUUUUUGAAGAAUUUAUCCUUCUUUUAAAAAAAAAAGAUUUUAUAAAUAAAAGCUAAAUGAGUAUAAUACAAUCAUCCUAGUUCCCAUCACACAGCAAACUAGAAAAUAUCAAGACAGGAAUUUAAUUUUUCCAUCCAAGAGCAAUGAUAUUAUCUGUAAGUUGCUUAGUUUUGUAAGAGUAUAUAAGCUAAACCUAAACACAGAGGGAUAAAUAUAAAUACUAAAACUAGAAGGUUUUAUACACGUAGACAACUCUGCCGGCAACUUAAUUCGCUGCAGCUCCACGUGGAAUACACCUCAAUUAAUAGAUACGAUCCCUUUUUUUUUAUGGCUUUCAGCUUUGAAAGGGCAAUUAUCCUUAGCAACUGUUUAGCAUUUUGUAUUUUGAAUUAAUAUAGCUUUUGCUUUAUGAACCCCCAAAAAAAAACAAAAUACCGUCACCAACAGCAAACAGUAAUCUCACACGUCUUAAAGCUUAAAAUCUCACCUUCAACACUUAUCUUUUGUCAAAUAAAAAAAGUCUCGUUUUCCUUCAGUAUUAUCUGCUACUCUACAUUAAACAUUAUAAUGGAACACUUACUACUUGUAAAACAAUAAUUCUCGUUAUCAUUAGCCAUUCCAUUUUACAUUAAAUUCAAAAUUUGCAGAUUAGCGAGGUCAACUAUAGAAAAUAUUGGAGACCUGAAUCAUCCCCUUUCCACUCAAACAAACAAAAAGAAACUUGGUAAUAUGCAAGGUUUUGUGUGUAAGCCAAUCUAAGCUGUAUAUGUUCAGACUUUUCCUCUUAGCAAGAUGUAACAUAUAUCAUCCUUCUGGCACAAGUCUGCUUCGAAGUUAAAUUGCAUCCGUUUAAGGUAGCAUCGUUUCUAUUUUUAUAAGAAACCGGACAUGAUCAUUCAAAGAUGUGCUGUGCAAGCCGCAAUAUUUGCCAAUGGCUUCAUGGUCUUACCUAUGUCUUGUAUCUAGAAUUGCAGAUACUGGAUAAGACAUACCUCAGGUGGCUUCAGUUCCCUCCGUCUUCAAUGUUGUUUGAUCCACAGCCUGGACAUGUGCACUUCUUCUGCAAGUCCUCCCCAAGAGAAGCAUAUACCUUCUCCAACUCAGAUGUCUGCUUUUUAUAGUUAGGGAAACAUUCUGAAAUAUGUAGCGGCCUCUCCCUCUUCCAAUGGUUGAGUUAUCAUCAGGUUGAUAGGCACUACUGCAUGUUGUAUAUAGAACAUGCUGCAUACGCUUGCUGUGCAUGUUAACAUAAUCAUAAAACCAAACCAAGAAGGAUAUUCAGCUAGUUCCUGCAGCUGCUUCGUUUCUUCCAUGAUGGCUGUCACAAGAAACCAUCUCCUUUCAACAUGGGCAAGCUGUUCACAAACCUGCAAGAAUACACGUAAGAUAAAUACUUCCAUUAUUUAUCAUGUAUUACAUGAUUCAGACACCUAACACAAAAUUUAAUGGCCUAGUUUAGUAAAUUAAAAUCCUAGCUUUGUUUAUAGAAGCUUCAAAUAUAAGUAGCAGACUCCCAGAAACUUACGAUAUCUUAUGUCAUAACAAGCAUCAUCAAUUUCAAAUGAAAUAUGAGCUAGAAAUGUAGAAAUCAUCUGCAAGUGGACAGACUCGAUAUGCAGAAGCAAUGACCAUAAAGCCACCAGAAACAUUUUAUAUAUCAUAAUGAUUGAACCACAUAUUCAGUUGUUAAAUCUGUUAUGUUUCUCAAAAAACAUUGGAGAGUUGACAAGAUAAUGAGAAAAUUUCCCUGGAUAUUUCUUGAACUAGGAAAAGCGUAAGAUGACAUAGGAAAAUACAGUCUAACAUCUCUUGCUCAUUAGAUGACACCAAUGGCAUUUGGACUAUGAGAAGAAAGUCAAUAAUAGUUAAUCUAGCAAAUUUAUUCAUUUAUAACACUUGCUAACCAUGAAGGUUAAGCAGAUAACUAACCAGUUUCAAAAGAGAACAUAAAAGUACUGAGGUAAAACCAUUAAUCAAGACCAGGUUGCAAAACGAUAUACUGGAUUGAUGAUGAUGUCGCAGGUUAUUCAAUCAUCUGAAUUAGUAAAAAAAUAUACUCUAGGUUGUCUAAUUAUAAAUCCUACAACAAAAACAUGUUAGAACCAUAAACGAAAGUUUUGUUGCUGCCUAUGAUGAGAUAAAUGAACCAAGCCCAAAUAUGUUAAACAGAAAAGCUAUCAUUCUCGUUAAUAGCAAGAAUGAAUGGAGGGAGAUUAGCAUCCUUGUUCCACAUUGAAACAUCAAAUUCUUUUGAAGCAACCAUGUGCAUGAUCUAAACAGAAAACAUGUAGUACCAGAGUCCAAUCUAUAUGUUAGAGUUGAAUGCCAGAUAUCUAGUACACUUGUGAGUAUCAAAAGGUCUUCUAGAAAGAUAUGGAAAGAAGAAAAGAAGAGGAUACACUCUACUUAUCUUUUCAUAUCAUGCCUGGUCUUUUUUAUACCAAUUAAAUGUCAAGUUAUAGAAGUAUUCAAAAAUGAAAUUUCUCAAUGUUCACCCAUUUUGAUAUAGCAAGUACUUUUAUUUGGUUCAAAUGUAUUUGGGCUCAUCUAUAACCAUAUAGUAUAUGUUUUAGUACAACUUGAACUUCAGUCACCACUGAAACAGACUCAUUGGUUUUGGAAACAUCUGAAACAGGAGAUGGGCUACGUUUUGGAUAUAACUGCUUUGUGAGGCUGUAUAAAUGACAUAAAGGAGGAUUUCGCUAAUCAUCAUCAUUAUAACAAAAAAAAUCAAAUACAAGUCUAAUAAUUAAUUAUUUUGUUUAAUAUUUAAGGUCUCAAACACAAAAUAUAGGUCCACUUGAAGCCCUUGGUCUUAUUUUAAUAUUAUUUAUUUACAUGGGCUAAUAUUGUGUUCGUUUUUGCCAAACACUAUAUGUGUUUUUUGCUGUUGGUCUAUAUUAUUUAAAAUCUGAUAAUUUAAAAUCAGCAAGCUGGACACCCAGUAGUUAACUAAAUUCUUGGUCUGUUGGUUGGAGCAAAGCAAGUUGAUCGGUUGCCCUCCUAAGUGGCCUUUUAAACUAGCAGAUGGGUUGCCGUUCAUAUAUAUUCAUUCUGCCUAGCUAAGGAGGCUGAGUGCCCACUCCAGGAACUGAUCACAUAAGAGCACGCUUUUUAUGAAAAAGAUAGUAAAGCUAGAAAAUCACCUAGGAUUAAUGAAAGUCUAAUAUGAUUAAAUUACGGUAUGUUUGCUUUAUAAAAGCCUUUUUACCUUGUUUAUAAUGCUCUAUUGUCUUUUUUGCUGAUUUACCAUUAUUUUCCAGCAAUGAAGAUAGGGGUUCCAUAAGUACUGAAAAUUACAAAAUUUCAACAAUCUAGAACUUCAAGGAAAAACAGACACAGAGUGACUAGCACAGAUUAGUAUAGCAUGCACAUUUUUAAUCUUCUCAUUCAUGGGAAUUAAUACAGAAAAAAAGAAAAAGAAACAAAAAACUGACCUUAUCACGAUUAUGUCUUUCUUUUUCGUACUCUGCUUCCAACUCAUGCAUCUGAGUGCUGAGGCAUGUAAUGUUAUCUUCAAGACCUUUUAGAAAGCCUUGCAUAUCAAGUAAUUUUGUGUUUUAGAGUCUGUUUUGCCUGUUUGAAUGUUUACAAAUAUAUAUACCAGAUUAAUAGUACUGGUAGUUCUGUUGUUUGAUCAUGAGUUUGAUCACAGAAAGUAUACUGGCGAACCCAGUUUAGUUGGCAAACCUUGGCAGCAGGUACUACCAAGCUUUAGAUAAAUAAAUAAUAAGCUAAAUAUUUCUGGUUAGUCAGUGCCCAAACAUCAAAGUAGACUCUACUGAUAAAUUUUCUGCAUUGGUACAAGACUUACAAGCUCUAAAUUUCAAUUUUAUAUGGACUUGAUAAUUAUGCUUUAUCAACAAAGUUGUUCCCAUAUAGAUGAGAUAAAAGCAGCUAUUUGUAUUUAUUCAUGUUCAUUUUAAGACAAUGGCAACAUAAUGUAACAUUGUGUUAUAUCCUUACUUUAAACAUGUGUUGGGAGCAUCACUCUGCAGGGUAACUACCCAGCCAAAUGCAUAGGUUGGCCCAAACAAAUGAUGAGGUAAUAAUGAAUUUUCAUUUAAGUCAAUUACAUUGCCAUUUUCAAUUUUUUUUCAGGCAACUAGACAAACAUAAGCUCUAUAAUAAACCUAUUUGUUCUGGAUAAGUUUACUUUAUUUGGCCUCAUUGCGAAUGCAUGCAUGGCUUAUUAUGCACCUUUGAUAAUUAUAUGUUCAGUGAAAAAACAAAAAUAGUUUAGUUUAGGAAUUUUCAAGAUGUUUUAAUAGUCAAAAUUAAUCAUAUGCAUCUGAAGGACUUCAGAAAUUGUAUCUUUCAUGAAACUUUAGUAAACAAAGAUCCAGAAGAAAAUUUAUAAGAAGAUCUGGAAGGAUUUUACCAGAUGAAGGGUUCAGAUCUAGUUAUAAGUUUACAGGUUGUUUUCCUUGUGAAGAAAGACCAGAAUAUAUCAGAUGAAUCAAAUCACAAAUGAAUUCUGAAUUCUGUAACUUUUCGGUAUUGAUCUUGAACACNNNNNNNNNNNNNNNNNNNNNNNNNNNNNNNNNNNNNNNNNNNNNNNNNNNNNNNNNNNNNNNNNNNNNNNNNNNNNNNNNNNNNNNNNNNNNNNNNNNNNNNNNNNNNNNNNNNNNNNNNNNNNNNNNNNNNNNNNNNNNNNNNNNNNNNNNNNNNNNNNNNNNNNNNNNNNNNNNNNNNNNNNNNNNNNNNNNNNNNNNNNNNNNNNNNNNNNNNNNNNNNNNNNNNNNNNNNNNNNNNNNNNNNNNNNNNNNNNNNNNNNNNNNNNNNNNNNNNNNNNNNNNNNNNNNNNNNNNNNNNNNNNNNNNNNNNNNNNNNNNNNNNNNNNNNNNNNNNNNNNNNNNNNNNNNNNNNNNNNNNNNNNNNNNNNNNNNNNNNNNNNNNNNNNNNNNNNNNNNNNNNNNNNNNNNNNNNNNNNNNNNNNNNNNNNNNNNNNNNNNNNNNNNNNNNNNNNNNNNNNNNNNNNNNNNNNNNNNNNNNNNNNNNNNNNNNNNNNNNNNNNNNNNNNNNNNNNNNNNNNNNNNNNNNNNNNNNNNNNNNNNNNNNNNNNNNNNNNNNNNNNNNNNNNNNNNNNNNNNNNNNNNNNNNNNNNNNNNNNNNNNNNNNNNNNNNNNNNNNNNNNNNNNNNNNNNNNNNNNNNNNNNNNNNNNNNNNNNNNNNNNNNNNNNNNNNNNNNNNNNNNNNNNNNNNNNNNNNNNNNNNNNNNNNNNNNNNNNNNNNNNNNNNNNNNNNNNNNNNNNNNNNNNNNNNNNNNNNNNNNNNNNNNNNNNNNNNNNNNNNNNNNNNNNNNNNNNNNNNNNNNNNNNNNNNNNNNNNNNNNNNNNNNNNNNNNNNNNNNNNNNNNNNNNNNNNNNNNNNNNNNNNNNNNNNNNNNNNNNNNNNNNNNNNNNNNNNNNNNNNNNNNNNNNNNNNNNNNNNNNNNNNNNNNNNNNNNNNNNNNNNNNNNNNNNNNNNNNNNNNNNNNNNNNNNNNNNNNNNNNNNNNNNNNNNNNNNNNNNNNNNNNNNNNNNNNNNNNNNNNNNNNNNNNNNNNNNNNNNNNNNNNNNNNNNNNNNNNNNNNNNNNNNNNNNNNNNNNNNNNNNNNNNNNNNNNNNNNNNNNNNNNNNNNNNNNNNNNNNNNNNNNNNNNNNACUGCUCCGUUGUGUCAUUGCUUCCUCCCCUCUGUACAGAACUUCCUUUUCCUCCUCCGUUUCUCUUCCAUGACUCCUCCACUUUCCCUCCUUCGCUCUCCAACUCCUCUUCCUUCCUCUUCCUCCUCCCCUCUUCUCUCUCUCUUUCUGUUUGGUCACUGGUGACCAAAAUGUCAGUGUACCAUAUGUUAGUAUGCUAGUACAGAUGGGACCCGUGCCAACCCAGCCAGUGAUUGGUAUAAGUCUCACACAGAAACUAGAAACUUUACCUUCUUCCCUUCUCCUUCUCUCUCUCAUUUUGUUUAGUCCGUGCUGACUGGUACACUAAUGUACUAUGUAUCAGUAUGCUAACAUAUACCUAACCCAACCAAUCCCACCUAACUACCAGUAGAGGUCUCGAACCAAGACUUAAAAUAUUGACCAAUAUAAUUGCAAAUGCAAAUAAUAAAAGUAAAAGAAAGCCCAUGUUUUAUAAAGGAAAUUUUAAUCUAGUUAACAGAAUGGAAUGUCUAUUAUGCAUUAUGACAUAACAUUCAACAGAAUACACACAAGUUGGCUUUGUCAUUGCUACAUUGUUGCUUAACUCCAUUAUCUGCAUUCAAUAAAAUAUACACAAGCUGGCUUUGUUAUUGCUACAUUGUUGCUUUACUCCAAGACUGAGAAAUUAUUGUCUUAUUUAAGCUUCCAGAUCAUAGGGCACAUAUCAUUGCAAAGCAUCAUUACAAUGUGGUUUUUGCACACCCUCAAUAACAAAUUGUAUUCUCUUGGAUUUAUCAAGAUAUUUGACACUACAGAAUAGGUUCCAAGUACUUGAACAUUGGUAAAUGGACCAGAGGAAUAAUAUAGGAAAGCUUACAGAAAAUUGAUUAGGUCCUUUGUAGGAUUACAUCCAAUAGGAAAAACAAAUCUGAAGGAUACCGACAAUAUAUAGAAGAACUUUGGACUUUGGACUUUGGACUUUGGUGUUGCAUAAACUGGAUUAAUUCAACUAUAUUAACACUUAUUUUGUAAAUCAGGCUUGAGAGUUUGUGCUCAUCUUCCUUUUUGUCGUAUCUGUAUGUACUGAAAUAAACUAUACUUGAGAUAAAAAGGCACAAGGGAACUCUAUCAUAGUAGGAAUUUUUCGGAACAGAUACCUGAAGUUACAAUCAGCAUUAUUUUAUUCUUAGAAUCAGCAUUUUGUAAAAUAGCAAGAGCAUCAAGAAAGAAGAGGGAAUCUAUCUCCAGAAUAAAAAAUUGUCAGAAACACCAUUCAUUAAUAUAGCAUCGAGUUCUGAAAAAUCAUCCAGUGGUUAUCCAGAUCUAAUUCCAAUAGUCCCAAGAACUAACUCCAAAGAAACAGAGUGCUGAUUGUAGCUGCCAGACCUUGGUGGGCUUAACUGACUAAAGCUAACCCACAGCAGUUCAUCAAUCCUAAGUGCAAAAUGGUCCAGAGUGGUCCGUGCUGCAGCCAGCAGUGCUGAUUUUGACCAAUCAGAACCAUUUCUAGUACAUAUUGGCUGUUCUCAUCAGCAUAGCAUAUGAGAACAAUUUCCCAUUUGAAGUUUUCUUAAUUUUUUCUUUUCUUAAUUUAGUAAAUUUUCAGUAAGACAAACACAAGGAUCAAUGGUGAGAAAAUAUUCAUGUAGCUGACUCCAAAUGGUUGGAAAUACAGUUUGUUCUACAAGUGGUUGCUGUCCAGUAAGACAGAUAUAUUCAUCUACAUUUAAGACUUGUGAUAACUUUGUAGUCAUGUUUACUGACGUUUUCAAAAUAUAUGGCAUUUUACUAGUUCGACUACUGACCUAUCUUCCCUUGGAUGAAAUUGUGUGCUAAACAUUUUGACUUUAUAGUUCUUUUUAAUAUUUGACAUUGCAAGUAAUGAAUCAAAUAUAGAAUCUGUGCAAAGCUCUAUUGACACAGGAUCCAAAUAAAAGUAAGGGGCAAGAAUGGACCAAGCACAUUAAAGAUGUAUAGCUAGUCAACUUCACACGAAUGUUUGGGAAGCUACACCUUCUACAGAAGUAAAAUAAUAUGCCAACAAUGUGAUAAAUCAUACAGCUGUUUUAUGUAGCUGAAAUUUUAACCGAUGUGGCCAAGAUGAAAAGGCAUGAGCAAAGGUCAAAAUGUAAAAAUGCCUGGAAUAGUGCAAAACUUAGCUAAGGAGUUUGGAACAAAAAGAUCAUAUACAAGUAAACAAAUAAGAAAACUAAACAAAUGAAAGUAAAAGCACGUUGGAAUAGACCUUAUUUUCUUGUUCAGCUCGCACAUACUGUUAACAAAUUCGUCUCUGCAUCCACAUAAAGAUCGUGAUUGAGUUUAUACAGUUUUUAGUAUAUCGCACAAGAACAAAAAACUAGUAUUACCGCAUGAAACGCACUUCACUCUGUUCACCGAUGCCAGGUGGAUUAAGAAGAUCAAAUAACAAGGUCAAAGUUCGAAAACAAAGAAUGACAAUAACGAAAGAAAAUCUAACAACAUUUGAGAGCACGAGAGCGAUUCUCACCUUGAGUGUAUCCAGAUCAGAACGGAGCUUCAAUAUCUCCUCCUGCAGCAGAGAAAUCCUCGCCUACGCACGAUAGUUACUAUUAGAAAAGGAUUUACAAGAUCAAUCGGCAACUAGAAAGGACGCGUAAUCAGAACCUCUUGCGCAUGGAUUGAUGCACCAAUCAUAGAAAGCUGAACCUGCGAUCCCCUCAGCUCCUGCUCGACCAUCUCCCUGGACCGCUUGGCCCCAUCGAGGUCGGCAUUUGCAACAUUGAGAUCGUUCUGAAGUUCGAGGAGCCGCUUCUUACGAUCGGACACCCUAAGCUCUGUGUCGAAGACAUGCGGAUUGAGCGGGGCGCAUCGGAGCUAGAGUGGAGGCACGAGAAGCAUGGAGCGGCCAUAGUGUACCUUCUUGGGAUUUCUCCGAGGCGAAAUUGCGGAUCAGCGAGAGGAGAUGUUUCUGGGAUUCGCCGGACGCCAUGGCGAGAAGGCGCCCCGAGGGCUCGGAGAUGGCAGCCUAGCUUUUUGGGGAACAGCACUCGUCUCCCCCUCUUUGGUUCGAGCUUCAGCACGUGAAGAGAACGAAGGAGAACAUAAGCGCGCAUCGGCUCAAACUCGAGCUCGUUUUUGACUCGGAUCGAACUCAAACACGAAUUGAAUUGAUCGUUUUGACUCAAUAAGAGUUAUUAAAAAUAUUAUAUAGUAAAAAUUUUGGAUGAUAAUUUGAUUAUUAUUAUUUGUUAAUUUCAGAAUAAUCUGGUCCGUCAAUCCAGCUAUAACAAAUCAUUGAUUGACAUCUCAACUCAAAUAUCGGAGAAAAUAAAGUAUCAAUUAGGCAUGUCAUAUUGGGUAUAAAAAAAUAUUCUUUAUUAAGUUUGUUUACAAAUCAAAUAUAUACAAUAAUUUUUUUAGUUAUAUUAUCAUUUAAAACUCACUAAACUUAUUUAAAUACUCAGACUUCUUAAAAAUAUUUAUCAUAAAUUAAAACUAACUUAAUUAUCAAAGGAAUCUUAUUGUAGAUUUUUUUUUACCCUUAAAUCGAAAUAGGAUAUUAGAUACAUAUAUUUUAUUAUGCUUCGAAAUGAAGGCAUGCCAACUACGAUAUUCAUUUAGGAGUCUCAACCAGUGAUACUUGCGUUUGAACAUAGCUAAGUGGUGCUUUGAUUACUUGUUUUUAUCUUAACAAAUAGAUUAGGGGCAAUAGGGAUGCUUUGGCUCUAGUCGAUCAUGUUAAAUACUUUGACUAUUUUAUAUCGUAGUUACACUCUACACAUCAUAGGCAAAAGGGACACAACGAUUAUAUUAGGUGCUCAUAUGCUCAUUUGUCUUGAGUGAAUACAUCAUAAUAAAAAAGGAUAUGUUAGUUUAUUGAAUAUUUAAGAUAUUUUUUAUUCACAAUAGACACUUAUAUUACGUGCAUUUUAAAUAAUUUUAUUUUUCUAAUAGAAGUAUCACAAAGGAGAUGCAUUGGCCAUAAUCAGAUUUUGUUUUUGUUUUUGUCAAUGACAAAUACAUGAAAAUGAGAUGGUUCAAUCCUGUCAUGCACUUCAAAUUAUUUCUUUAUCAUACACAGAUGUAUCACAAGUGCACCUGCUCGUUUGGGGAGGCUCCUCCAUUUACCUUUUCCUUGAACCUUGAUGUAGGACACAAGUAUGUGGUCUUCCUGCGCAGUCCACGCUCCUGUCCUGAGCCCUUCCCUUGCACAGCAUGGCUUCCUUCCCAUCUCUCUUUCUCUCUCUCUCGUUUGAAAGAAGCUUGAUUAGUUGUUGGCGACAUCUAUAGGUCCUCAACUGUACGAGACAAUUUCUCUGAUCACCGUAUGAUAUUAAUUGUGAGGAGCCAUCGCUGACAUUACAGCACCCCUAUCGAGUCGACGUCGAGAAAAAUUCUUACUGUCUGAUAUCACACAACUGCCAAAUUUCUCCUCGUAUGUGGCAGUCCCCCCUUUCCAGAUCCUAGGCGGAUCUGCCCCCCCACUUGUCACCCACAGUCGGUCGUUCGACGACAGCUUCCCUGCUUCCAGUCUCAACCACGGCUACCGCACCAAGUUCCAAGCCUACGGUGCCACGCCAAGCAUUUGUUGGGCCCAGUCAACGCAUUUGGUGACUUUGCAUCGCGGGAGCAUGCACUCUUGGUUCCUCCUUAUUGCAGAAUUUUUUUUUUUAUUCUUCCUCCCUCCUUACCGUAGAAAAGUACCAACACUUCUUUCUUUUUAUUUUUCUUCCUCUUUAUUGUAGAACUCGUUGAUUCUUCCUGCAUUCUUACUGCAAAAGUACUAACACUUCUUCCUUUUUAUUUUUCUUUUGAUCCUUGUCAUUGCUACUUACUUCAACUUGCUCCCACAUAGUAGUCCAUAUCUUCCAUUUGUCUUAAUCAUCCACCUCUGUUGCUCCACUUACUAUUCCAACAGGGAAUUAUAGUACUUUCCCACAUACAAAUCUUAUCUCCAUAAAUGCAGCAUCCCUCAUCCCUUUCAAAUUAUCCAAAGGUGACAACUACGCAUCCUGGCGUGCUCAAUUUUCUAAUAUUCUAUUUGGUUAUGACCUUCUAGGCUAUAUCGAUGGCUCUCUUCCUUGUCCACCAGCGAUGAUCAAAAUCCCAGGAGCAUCCAGUCCAGUAUCAAAUCCGGACCACAAACUAUGGUUACGCCAGGAUCGUCUCAUUCUUCAAGCAAUUCAAGCUUCAGUCAUUGGAUCCCUCGCCCCACUCAUAUCUUCGUGUGACACUACUGUCGAAGCCUGGUGCAAGUGAUGAGGAUAUAAACAGGAAUAACCUUUGUAUAUGAACAAAUACUAGAAGACCAUAAUACGCAACGGAAUUAAAUGGAACCACAAUAAAAUAGAACACCAAGAUAUACAUGGAAAACCCCUUCAAUGUGAAGGGUAAAAACCACGGGGCAAACUAGAGACAAUCCACUAUAAGAAUAAUGAAUAUACAAAUCACAAUCUCUUGCCCUAAACCCUAGCAACAAUCACAAGAGAAUAACUGAGAUACAAGGAUCACGUCACUGCCCACAAUAUCUAAAACCUCCCCAAGUAAUCACAGCAAGAGUCUACUGUAGAUUUGAUCUAACCUGAGAGAACACUGCUAGAUGAUUGAGAACAGUCUCUCUGCGUUGUCCUUGUCUUCUUCUCUUUCUUUCUCUUCUUUUUCUGCCUUGUUUUCCUCCUUUUCUUUGGAAUCUCGUAGCUGUUUUCUUCUCCCACGUUGCUGCCCUAUUUAUGCCUUUUUCUGCCUCCAAAACAUAGCCACCACACCCUCCUAAUGUUAAUUAGGGUUAGGUUAAGAGGGAGUAUGGGUUGUGGGCUGCCCAAGCCCACUAUGGACUGAAUUUGUGGGCUGCCAACCCAACAACCUUCCCCUUCAGCCCAUUAGGGAGGCUGUCCCAUGACUUCUCAAUGUGAAGCCAUGUCGACCAGUUGUCGGCAUAUCUCCUGCCUUUCUUUUGGUAAGGUCUUCAUUCCAUUUGGUAGCAGUACCAAAUCAUUAGUGUGGUUCUUCUGAAGAGCAUCCAUCUCUUCCUGCAUAACAACUAACCACUUCUCUUUCUGCUCACAUUCAACUGCUUCCUGGUAACUCUCUAGUUCACCUGCAUCAGUAAGCAUCACAUACUCAUAUGUAGAGUAUCUUCUGGAAGGUUGACGUUGUCUAGAAGAUCUUCUCAACUGAGGUUUUGUUGGAAGUUGCUCUCCAACUUCUUCUUGCUCAACAUGUCCUGCAGGUAAAUCAACAUCAAGCUCUACACUAUCUUCCUGCACAUCUCCCCCAUCACCUUGAUAUACUGGAAGAAUAACUGGGUCACAAUCUGCUAAUCCUUCUGCAGAAGUAUUGACUGGUGCCUUCUUCUUCAAAUCUUCAAAGGUUUGAUCCUCAAAGAAGACUACAUCUAUGCUUCUAAACACCUUCUGCUUUUUUGGAUCCCAAAGCCUGUAACCAAAAUGAUCAUAUGGGUAGCCAAGAAAAAUACAUUCUUUAGUCUUACCAUCCAGCUUGGGCUUCUCAUUGUCUGGAAUAUAUGCAAAUGCGCGACAACCAAACACUCUUAAAUGCUUGUAGGAAACAUCUUUUCCUGACCAUAUAUGCUUUGCAACAUCACCAUCUAGGGCUAUACAUAGUGAUAAGUUGAUCACAUCAACUGCAAUCCUUAAAGCCUCAUCCCAAAACCUUUUGGGUAGCUUAGCUUGUGAAAGCAUACAUAUGAUCUUUUCCAUGAUGGUGUGGUUCAUCCUCUCUGCAAUUGCAUUAUACUGAGGUGUACCAGGAACUAUCAUCUCAUGUUGGAUCACAUGUGACCUGCAAUAGUCAUUAAACAAACCUGUAUACUCACCACCAUUAUAUGAUAUUAUGCAUUUCAAUUUCCUUUCUGUCUCCCUUUCAACCCUAGCAUGAAACUCUUUGAAGACAUUAAUCACCUGAUCUUUAGUCUUCAAAGCAUAGGCUCAAACUUUCCUGGAAAAAAUCAUCUAUAAAAGUGACAAAAUAAAGUACACCACUUAUACCAAGAACAUCAACAGAUCCACCAUGAGUUAUUGUCCUCAAAGGAUCACAUAUAUCUGUAUAAACACGGUCUAAGGCAUGCAUUUUUCUAGACAAAGUAGAACUAGCAAAUGAAACUCUAUGUUGUUUACCUGCUAAACAAUCAAUACAAGGGUUCAGAUGUAUACCUUUGAGGUUUGGUAAUACCUCUCUCUUUGAAAGAGCUUGCAGCCCUUUCUCGCUCAUGUGUCCCAAUCGCCUAUGCCACAACUCUAUGCUGAAGUCUUUUUUUAUAGCAUUUAACUGCUCAUCAUAAGCUUUAGCCUGCAACCUGUACAAAGUAUGACAUUUCUUUCAAUUAGCUAUAACAAGAGAACCCUUACUGAGCUUCCAUUGCCCUUUGUGAAAUCUGCUAUCAUAGUCUUCAUCAUCUAGCAUUCCAACUGAAAUUAGAUUCAGCCUCAAGUCAACCACAUGCCUCACAUCCUUAAGCACCAACUUGCAGCCUAGGUUGGUCUUUAAAUGGAUAUCAACCAUGCCUAUGAUGUCUGCUGUGACAUAGUUACCCAUCUUGACAACACAAAAAUUUCCAAACGUGUAUGUAGCAAAAAACUCCCUCUGUGGUGUAGCAUGAUAAGAAGCACCUGUGUCAAUCAUCCACUCAAGAUCCUAACACACACAAAAAAAAAUAUCAUCAGAAUGAGACAAAAUCAAAUAAUCACCACCCUGCAUUGUAGCUAUGAUAUUAUCUUUUGACUCUAUAGACUCUACUUCUUUUCCCUUUUUCUUGCUCUUCUUAGGUUGUUUACAUUGGUUCUUGUAAUGUCAUUUCUCACCAUAAUUAUAGCAAACAAUAUCUUUUCUUGAUCUUGACUUGCUUCUACCUAUGCGUGAACUGCUUCUAGACUUUGACCUUCCUCUGUUCUCUGAGAUAAGUGCAUGUGAAUCAUUCUGAGAUGUUGCCAAACUCUUUCUUCUCAACUCCUUAUUCAACAAAUUGCUUGUUACUUGACUCAUAGUGACAACACCAUCUAGCGCAGAAUUACUAAGGGAAACCACCAGUGUCUCCCAACUUUCUGGUAAUGAACUGAGAAGUAACAAUGCUUGCAACUCAUCAUCAAGAGACAAUUUCAUAGAGGAUAACUAGUUAUUAAUACUUUACAUUUCAUUCAAAUGUUCAGCAAUAGAAGCACCUUCUCUAUAUUUUAGGUUUAUAAGUUUUCUGAUCAAAAAGGCUUUGUUGUCAGCUGUUUUUCUUUCAUAGAAACUUUCCAACUUUUUUCAAAGAGAAUAUGCAGAAAUUUCAGUAGAAACAUGGUGAAAGACACUAUCAUCAAGCCACUGUCGAAUAAACCCAAUUAUUUUUCGAUCUAACCUCUUCCACUCAUCAUCUGUCAUAGUUAUGGGUUUUGCACUAUCCCCCUAUAAAGGUCCAUACAAAUCUUUACAAUACAAGAGAUCUUCCAUUCUUGGUUUCCAUAUCAUCCAAUUGUUUCCAUUUAAACUAAUCAUGCGAGAAACAUUACUGGCCUCCAUGUUCAAAUACAAAAUUGAAAUCAUCAAAACCUCAGUGCUCUGAUACCAGUUGAUGGGGAUAUAAACAGGAAUAACCUUUGUAUAUGAACAAAUACUAGAAGACCAUAAUACGCAACGAAAUUAAAUGGAAUCAUAAUCAAAUAGAACAUCAAGAUAUACGUGGAAAACCCCUUCAAUGUGAAGGGUAAAAACCACGAGGCAAACUAGAGAUAAUCCACUAUGAGAAUAAUGAAUAUACAAAUCUCAAUCUCUUACCCUAAACCCUAGCAACAAUCACAAGAGAAUAACUGGGAUACAAGGAUCACGUCACUGCCCACAAUAUCUAAAACCUCCCCAGGUAAUCACAACAAGAGUCUACUGUAGAUUUGAUCUAACUUGAGAGGAGAACACUACUAGAUGAUUGAGAACAGUCUCUCUACAUUGUUCUUGUCUUCUUCCCUUUCUUUCUCUUCCUUUUCUGCCUUGUUUUCCUCCUUUUUUUUGGAAUCUUGUGGCUAUUUUCUUCUCCCACGUUGCUGCCCUAUUUAUGCCUUUUUCUGCCUCCAAAACGUAGCCACCACACCCCUCUAAUGUUAAUUAGGAUUAGGUUAAGAGGGGGUGUGGGCUGUGGGCUGCCCAAGCCCACUAUGGGCUGAAUUUGUGGGCUGCCAACCCAACAACAAGUUGCAAACCACCCUGGCAAAUCAUUCACGAACUCGCAUGCUUAGUCUCCUAUUCGGACUUAUGAAAACAAAACAAGAGGGAAGUACUGUUACUGAAUAUAUGCACAACAUAAAGAUUAUUAUUGAUAAAUUGGCCUUGAUUGUCCAUAUCCUCAAUGUCCUAGGAGACGAGUACAAGGAACUGGCAGCAGCAAUAUGGGCACGUGAUUCACUAGUAUCGUUCGAAGAACUCUACGAUAAGCUGACUGAUUUUGAGAUAUAUCUCAAGCGUGAGGAUAAAUUGUUAGGACCAUCUAUCAUGGCUCAAGUCAAUCAAAAAUCCACGAGGAUGGGCUAUCAGUAUAACAAGACUAUUAACAAAGGUUCGACUAAGAUGCUUUCUGAACCUUUGAGCUCCAACCAAACCCCUCCUCCACAUCAUCAACAUUUCAAUCACGAUAACCAAGGUGGCUACUUCAAUCAUCAGCAGUCCUGGCGCCCUGAACACACAAAUCAAUGAAGAGUUGUUUACAAAUUAUGUGAUAAAGUCGGUCACUCUGCAAAGGUCUGUCGAUCUCGACCCCGACUUCCUGUACAAUCACAUUGGCCUCAACCAAAUCUUACAACUACUCCAAACACUACUGAUCAUAAUUGAAUCGUGGACUCUGACGCAUCCCACCACAUUACCUCUAAUCUACAGAACUUGUCGAUCCACAAUAAUUAUAGUGGACAUGACGACAUCAUCAUCGGUGACGGUAAAGGACUUCUUAUUACUCAUACUGGUUCCACAAUGCUUAAUUCACCUACCACAACUUUUACACUCGAUGAUGUUUUGUGUGCACCUCACAUUAAACACAAUCUUAUUUCUGUUUCUCAAUUUUGCAAACAAAAUGAUACCUCUAUUGAAUUCUUUCCUAACUCUUUUCUUGUCAAGGAUUUAAACACAGAGGUAUCUUGGUCUAAGGUCAUAGUAAGGAUAAUGUUUAUGAAUGGUCGUUCAUUCCACAACUCAAACAGCCCACUGUUUACUCCUCAAUGGCAGCUCCAAUUGAUGUGUAGCAUCGUCGUCUCAGUCAUCCCUCUCUCUCUAUCCAAAAUAAAUUACUUUCUCGUUAUUCUCUUUCUACUCCUACAAAUAAUAGCUUUUAUUGUGAUGCUUGUCUCAGUAAUAAAAAUCAUAGACUCCCUUUUGGUUCUUCUUCCAUAUCAUGUUCUACACCAUUUAAAAUUAUUUAUACUGAUGUUUGAGGUCCUGCUCCUGUCACUUCCUUUGACAAGUUUAGAUUUUAUGUCAUUUUUGUAGACUAUUUUACUAAGUACAUAUUGAUUUAUCCUCUCCGUCAUAAGUCAGAAGUUUCAACAAUUUUUACCAACUUUAAAAAGUUGGUCGAAAACUUCUUUCAAUCUACAAUUAAAAUAGGCUACUUUGAUGGUGGGGGUGAAUAUCAAGCUCUCACAUCCUACCUCUCAACCUGUGGUAUCCAACACCUUAAUCAUCCCCACACACUCCUCAACUAGUUGGUUCUACUGAACGCAAACAUCGACAUAUUGUAGAAACUGGUCUCACGCUUCUACAUCAAGCCUCCAUACCAGCAACCUUUUGGUCUGUAGCCUUCCAAACUGUCAUCUACCUUAUUAAUCAUCUGCCCACUCCAGUUCUCUAAUACCAGUCUCCAUUUGAAAAACUAUUUUCUAAAUCCCCAAACCUUCAAAAACUUCGAAUAUUUGGUCGUUUAUGUUAUCUGUGGCUAUGUCCCUAUGCCCCACAUAAGAUAGCACCAUGAUCUACACCUUGCACCUUCAUAGGAUAUUCUCUUGAACAUAAUGCCUUUCGAUACUACGAACCAAAAACUCAAAAAGUCUUUAUUUCACGUCAUGUUGUUUUUGUGGAGUCUGUCUUUCCAUUUCAAAACCACGAGUCUCCUACAAUGUCGACCACUAUAACAAAGAUACAUCAUUGGAGUAUACCAUCCAGUCUCCCGGUUCAACAGCUUCCCACUCCCUCCAUUCCUUCUCAUCUUCCUUCUUCACAAGCCUCCCCUACUACUGAUAUAAUAUCCUCAGAAUCACAACAACCUUCUUUACCUAGUACCACUGAUGUAUCUCAGCCUAUCUCGACCCCUAUCGAUGCCUCUCCACCACCCAUACUAAUACCACAACUUUCAGUUCCUAGACAUCCAAUGACAACACGCUCAAAAGUGGUAUUUUUAAACCACGUCAGGUUCUCGAUCUGCAUGCUAUCACCAAAUCCUCUCCCGAGACCAGUGAACCCACCACAAUUACUCAAGCCUAAAAAUCUCCUCACUAGCGUAAAGCCAUGUGUGAAGAAUAUGAUGCUCUUCUCUAUAACUCCACAUGGACUCUAAUACCUUUUCAUCAUACACAAAACAUCAUCGGGUGUAAAUGGGUCUUCCGAAUUAAGCGGAACCUCGACGGGUCCGUUGCUAGAUAUAAAGCACGAUUAGUAGCCAAAGGGUUUCAUUAACGACCUAGAGUUGACUUCACAGAGACUUUUAUUCCUGUAGUUAAACCCACAACAAUUCGGCUUAUUAUAAGUUUGGUCAUCUCCAAAGGCGUCAACUUAUGACAACUGGACGUUAACAAUGCUUUUUUACAAGGGACUUUAACUGAAGAUGUCUUUAUGCAGCAACCCCUUAGCUUUGUUCAUCACCAGUAUCCGAGACAUGUCUGCAAAUUAUAAAAAGCCAUUUAUGGACUCCGUCAAGCUCCACGAGCUUGGUAUACUGAACUUGGAUCGUUUAUGAUAUCAAUUGGCUUCAUCAACUCCAAGUCUGAUACCUCUUUAUUCCUACGACAACAACAUGGAAAUACAAUAUAUCUUCUAGUAUAUGUAGAUUAUAUUAUUGUUACAGGCAAUGAUCCCUUGGAGAUUCAGACAUUUUUUAAGCAAUUGGCUGAUCGAUUCUCCCUUAAAAAUUUAGGACCCUUGAGCUACUUUCUGGGAAUGGAAGCAACAUUUACAUCGUCAGGUCUCCUCCUCUCACAGAGAAAGUAUAUUCAAGACUUAUUAUUAAAGACAAAUAUGUAGGAUGCGAAAGAAGUUGCUACUCCUCUCUCUACUAGUGAAUCACUCAAAUUAUGUGAUGGUAGUCCUACCACGGACUCAACUCAAUACCGACAAGUACUUGGUUCCUUACAGUACUUGGCUCUCACCCGUCCAGAUAUCUCAUUUUCAAUAAUAAAUUAUCUCAAUACAUGCACCAGCCUUCUGCUAUGCAUUGGUCUGCGGUUAAACGAAUUUUGCGAUAUUUUAAAGGGACCCUUAAUCAUGGUCUCUUUCUCUGCAAAACCACUCAACUUCAUCUUCGUGCCUUUGCUGAUGUUGAUAUGGCGGGUAACUUUGAUGUGAGAACCUCCACAUCAGGGUAUGUGGUCUUUCUUGGGUCUAAUCUAAUCAGUUGGAGUUCUAAGAAACAAAAGACAGUGGCCCGAUCUACAAUUGAAGCUGAAUAUCGUGCUAUUGCUACUGCUGUUGUUGAACUCAAUUGGGUCAUAAAUCUCCUCAAAAAACUCAAAGUCAGCUCUACCCAUACUCCUACAAUAUAUUAUGACAAUGUUGAAGCUACCUACUUAUGUAUCAAUUUAGUGUUCCACUCACGCAUGAAACACAUUGCCAUCGACUUUCACUUCGUGCGAGAUCAAGUUGUCAGACAUCAACUUCGUGUCUCUCAUGUUGCAUCGAUCCAUAACAGAGAGAUUUUAUCUGAUAACAAAGAGAUUUUAUCUGAUAACAGAGAGAUUUCCUGAACUGCACAGUAGAUGAGAUUUUCUCAACUGUAUUAGGUAAUCUUUCUGCUCAGUUAAAGAAAUCUUAUUUUUCAUUAUGUAAAAAUAGACUUCAUAUUAUACUAAUUGAAGUACUAACGUUAGAUGGCAAGGUAGCCGGGGAUUAGAGGUCGAAGGAGCGGUGCCUAUAAAGCCUUUUCCGAAACGUGGAUGGGUAACAAAUUAAUGACUUUAUGAUUUGUACCGGAAUAUGUCUUUUACUGUAAAGAUAUUUUUAUAGCAUAAAUAAUUCAAAGCUACUCUGCGAUAUUAUAUAGUAUGAUAAAUAUAUAUAUAUAUAUUACAUUAAAUAAUUUAUCUCAAGCCUAAAUUACCCACACAAAGUGGCAUCCUUCGCUUAAAACAAAGUCCGAAAUGUUAUCAGUCGUCUCCUAUUCGGAAUGCUUGUCCUACUCGGAAUCGUUUUCCCAGUUGUGUCCGUCAUCGGAACCGUCUCUAUAUAACUCAUCAACGUUGGUCCUCCGCCACCUUCAACAACUCCUCUGUCAUUGCGAUCGACAUCUCUGUCCUUGCUUCGGUUCCUCGUAGCCACCAAAGGCAGCAGAUGAAGAUAAGAACACUAGGAGCAGAGGCGGAGACCACCAUGGACAGCCCUGACUGGACAUCGCUCCCGCUGGAUGUCCUCACGAAGAUUGGCGAAAAGCUUCCCGUCCCUUACCGUGCCUGCUUUCGUGCCACAUGCAAGGAUUGGUGUUCCGCACUCCUUCCCGUUGUCAUCCCGUCCCCGUGGCUCCUCUUAGUCGGCAAGAACAGCGAUACCUGCAACUUCUUGUCUCUCCCCACCAGACGCUCCUUCACCUACUCCCUUCUCCCUGAGCUCCACGGCGUGCAGUAUGUGGGCNNNNNNNNNNNNNNNNNNNNAAAUACACACAAGUUGGCUUUGUCAUUGCUACAUUGUUGCUUAACUCCAUUAUCUGCAUUCAAUAAAAUAUACACAAGCUGGCUUUGUUAUUGCUACAUUGUUGCUUUACUCCAAGACUGAAAUUAUUGUCCUAUUUAAGCUUCCAGAUCACAGGACACAUAUCAUUGCAAAGCAUCAUCACAAUGUGGUUUUUGCACACCCUCAAUAACAAAUUGUACUCUCUUGGAUUUAUCAAGAUAUUUGACACUACAGAAUAGGUUCCAAGUACUUGAACAUUGGUAAAUGGACCAGAGGAAUAAUAUAGGAAAGCUUACAGAAAAUUGAUUAGGUCCUUUGUAGGAUUACAUCCAAUAGGAAAAACAAAUCUGAAGGAUACCGACAAUAUAUAGAAGAACUUUGGACUUUGGACUUUGGUGUUGCAUAAACUGGAUUAAUUCAACUAUAUUAACACUUAUUUUGUAAAUCAGGCUUGAAAGUUCGUGCUCAUCUUCCUUUUUGUCAUAUCUGUAUGUACUGGAAUAAACUAUACUUGAGAUAAAAAGGCACAAGUACUGAAAUAAAAUAUUGCAGAAAAAGAAGAUGGUCUGUGAAUAAACUAUAGUUGAGAUAAAAAGGCACAAGGGAACUCUAUCAUAGUAGGAAUUUUUCGGAACAGAUACCUGAAGUUACAAUCAGCAUAAUUUUAUACUUAGAAUCAGAAUUUUGUAAAAUAGCAAGUGCAUCAAGAAAGAAGAGGGAAUCUAUCUCCAGAAUAAAAAAUUGUCAGAAACACCAUUCAUUAAUAUAGCAUCAAGUUCUGAAAAAUCAUCCAGUGGUUAUCCAGAUCUAAUUCCAAUAGCCCCAAGAACUAACUCCAAAGAAACAGAGUGCUGAUUGUAGCUGCCAGACCUUGGUGGGCUUAACUGACUAAAGCUAACCCACAGCAGUUCAUCAAUCCUAAGUGCAAAAUGGUCCAGAGUGGUCUAUGCUGCAGCCAGCAGUGCUGAUUUUGACCAAUCAGAACCAUUUCUAGUACAUAUUGGCUGUUCUCAUCAGCAUAGCAUAUGAGAACAAAUUCCCAUUUGAAUUUUUCUUAAUUUUUGCUUUUCUUAAUUUACUAAAUUUUCGGUAAGACAAACACAAGGAUCAAUGGUGAGAAAAUAUUCAUGUAGCUGACUCCAAAUGGUUGGAAUAAUACAGUUUGUUCUACGAGUGGUUGCUAUCCAGUAAGACGGAUAUAUUCAUCUACAUUUAAGACUUGUGAUAACUUUGUAGCCAUGUUUAUUGAUGUUUUCAAAAUAUAUGGCAUUGUACUAGUUCGACUACUGACCUAUCUUCCCUUGGAUGAAAUUGUGUCCUAAACAUUUUGACUUUAUGGUUCUUUUUAAGAUUUGACAAUGCAAAUUCACACAACAUUUGGGAAACUACAUCUUCUACAGAAGUAAAAGAAUAUACCAACAAUGUGAUAAAUCAUACAGCUGUUUUAUGUAGCUGAAAAUUUAACUGAUGUGGCCAAGAUGAAAAGGCAUGAGCAAAGGUCAAAAUGUAAAAAUGCCUGUGAUAGUGCAAAACUUAGCUAAGGAGUUUGGAACAAAAAGAUCAUAUACAAGUAAACAAAUAAGAAAACUAAACAAAUGAAAGUAAAAGCACGUUGGAAUAGACCUUAUUUUCUUGUUCAGCUCGCACAUACUAUUAACAAAUUCGUCUCUGCAUCAACAUAAAGAUCGUGAUUGAGUUUAUACAGUUUUUAGUAUAUCGCACACACAAGAAGAUUAAAAGAAGAACAAAAAACUAGUAUUACCGCAUGAAACCCACUUCACUCUGUUCACCGAUGCCAGUUCGAUUAAGAAGAUCAAAUAACAAGGUCAAAGUUCGAAAACAAAGAAUGACAAUAACGAAAGAAAAUCUAACAACAUUUGAGAGCACGAGAGCGAUUCUCACCUUGAGUGUAUCCAGAUCAGAACGGAGCUUCAAUAUCUCCUCCUGCAGCAGAGAAGUCCUCGCCUACGCACGAUAGUUACUAUUAGAAAAGGAUUUACAAGAUCAAUCGGCAACUAGAAAGGACGCGUAAUCAGAACCUCUUGCGCUUGGAUUGAUGCACCAAUCAUAGAAAGCUGAACCUGCGAUCCCCUCAGCUCCUGCUCGUCCAUCUCCCUGGACCGCUUGGCCCCAUCGAGGUCGGCGUUUGCAACAUUGAGAUCGUUCUGAAGUUCGAGGAGCCGCUUCUUAAGAUCGGGGACCCUAAGCUCUGAGUCGAAGACAUGCGGAUUGAGAGGGGCGCAUCGGAGAUAGCGUGGAGGCACGAGAAGCAUGGAGCGGCCAUAGUGUACCUUCUUGGGAUUUCUCGGAGGCGACAUUGCGGAUCAGAGAGAGGAGAUGUUUCUGGGAUUCGCCGGACGCCAUGGCGAGAAGGCGCCCCGAGGGCUCGGAGAUGGCAGCCUAGCUUUUUGGGGAACAGCACUCGUCUCCCGCUCUUUGGUUCGAGAAGAAUCCAUAAUUAUUCUAAAAUCAUCAUUGAUAUUAUGGAUCUCAGAUCAAACCGGAAAAUAGAGUCCUCGAUCUAAGGUUAAUUGUUAUAGUGAAAGUUGAGAACAGAGUUUUUUUUUUUUUUUUUUGCCAACAUGCUAAUAUAGGAAUUUCUAUGGAUUUACUAUGACAUUUUUCAAAAAACCCCAUAUUCUAAUAUCAAUAUGAUUUAAUCAAUUUUGAUCUUUUAAUCUGAUAUGAUGAAAAUGAUCUAACCUAUUAAAAUUUUUAAGUACUGUUGAAUCUGAAAAAAAGAAAAAUAAGUUCGAUUGGUCAGGAGACUUUCACUUGAGAUAAGAAAAAGUCCCAUAUACUAUAUCUUAUUUCAAUGUGAGGGUAGAAAUUAUUUGUUCUUGCAAAAGAUUAUGUUGGAAUAUAGGAUCACUCACCCCAUCCCCACUAUAUUAAUGUUGAAUGUUGAUAUUGUUUGUUUUAGUUCAAUUAAAUCAAAUAGCUUGCAAUUAACUUGGAAUCUACUCAACCAAAGUUCAACUCACCCAUCUCUUCCUAUAUCCAUAGGAGUAAUAAAAAAUAUCUUCUAUCUCACCUCAUUAAGGUCGAGUCUCUAUGAAAACUCAUACCUUUAGGCAUAACUUGUGUUUAUUAACUCACCCCAUUAACUCUCACCCCAGUAAAGCUAACUUUAGUGCUUAUUAACUUUUAAUUCCCUUACUUCUUCCUUGAUAUAGGACUAAAUAUGUUUGCUCGUGGCAGCGUCCGAUUCGGUGUCCGGCCACAAUCACUUUCCUUCAAAAGCGUGGAGAGAUGAGGUGAUCAGCGAGCGAAGGGUUGGAUGCGAUUUGGCUGUGUGACUCAGCAUCAAGUCACGACAAGGACGAUACCACCAAGUCCUUCUCGCCGUGUGGCUUCCCUGAGUUCUUUAACGCGGACCCCACCAUUUUCUUCUCACGCACUGUCUCUCAACGGUUUCGUUCAUCACGCAGCCAGCGUUGCUUUCCCCCGAACCGUUUGUUCCUUGAGCGAACGGUUACGUGGGGGUUUCGUUACCCGCUGGGGGCCCUACCGUUACGAUCGGUGCGAUUGAUGUCUUGAUUUUUAUGGGCGUGGUUUGGGUGGUGCAUCGUGCUUCGGGCUCGAAGAAGAUGCGAAGGCGGAUACGUCAUGAUCUCCUCCCGUUGAUCGUCACCAUCCGUGAUCUCUACGGACGUGUGGACGGCAGAUCUUCUUUCCGUACAUGGUAUACUAAGCGGCAACGGUUGGAGAUACUCGAGCUAUGGGGCCCGGAUAAGCCUCGCCUGUUCCCUGUGAAGCAUGACCGGACAUGAAGUUCCACGUGGCAAACUAGCGUCCGUUCACAGGCACGACGAUGGACACGCGUCAUUACGGCGGACCGCACGAGGAAGCCUAUGCUUGAAAGGAACAGGACUGGAACGGUCUCGAUUAAUUCCGGCGUUGCGUUAAUUACCUAAUCAUCUAAUUAAAUUAUCGCACUGCUCUUUCUACCUGCAAGGUUGUACACGUUUAGCCACAUGCGUUGCUAUUGGAGAGAAAGAUGGGGACCACUGGUGACCCACCUGCGCUCGUCCUCCGACUUCUACAAAAUUGCAGUCUGACGCUGAGUGGGUAAGCCUCACACGGCAACACUAUUUUUGUAAGAUGAGGCUCCACCUCCGCUAAUGACCAUCCUAAACUGAUUCUUGUGCAAGAAAAGGAGGAUAAGCUUUUUGCUUUUACUUCUUGUUGUUGGUUUUUAAGUCUAUAAAUUGGUGUGCCGACGGCGCAGUCUUCCGUCGCUUAUCCUUUCGGCUAUUUUCUCUUUUUCCUCUUAGAGGAGCAACUGUGAUCGGAGCAUCUGCAUCGCCGACAGAUCAGAACCGUCGCGUUCUUUGGAUUUUCGGUGAAGGUGAAAAGUUGAUAUCGAUCGGACGGAUGUCGAUCGCACUGGAGAAACGGGGCGACAUUGGCCGGUCGGGGCUUCUCCAGCGGCCCGCCUGCUUCCCAAUCUACGAGGUGCCAGAGGCGGCGGCAAGGCUUGCGGUGGCGGGGGACGGCGGCGAGGACUCCUGCAGCUCUUCGUCCAUCGGGAGGAACAGCGACCUCUCCGCCGGUGGAUCGGGGUCGGACGGCGGGGAGGCGGAGGUCCAGAGCAGGUUGAAGGGGCCACUAGAGACAAUGGACGCCCUCGAGGACUCACUGCCCUUGAGGUAUCCUUCUUCAUCUAUGCAAAAGUUCCUACGUUGACUAGCUUCUCUUGAAUGCUUCGGAUUAGGUUCUUGCUUUCUUGGUGCAUUUGGGUGAAAUGUAACGCGGGUAAUGUUUGUGAGAAAUGUUUUCAAGAAACAUAAUGGUGCUGCCUUUUUGUUCUUGAUGUAGCAAAUAUUUCUAGAACUUGUUUAGCCGUUGUUACGAUUAUCGUUAUGAUUGCUUGUUAUGUAUUAUAUUUUAGGGUUUGAGUUGUUCUUUUCUUGAUAUUGCUUGAAAUUUCCCCAGAUAUGAGUUGGAUUUGUGAAUUAGGGCCCUUCAGAAAUUGUGCCUAUCCAACGCUUUUAGAUUGCCCAUUUCUUUAUAAUCAGCAGAUAUCCAUAUCAGUUACUAGUGUCUGAUAUCUCACUCUUCUUUGACCAAUUUCAUUGGAUAAUUCAAGGGCUACUAUUUCAUUUGGUAUCUUAUUUCUAUCCCCCUGGUAUGAGUUGACUUUUGAGAUCUCUACUUAGAAGACAGUUAGCAUUGAACUCUGUAAUACGUGCGAUGCAUACAUCCUGUUGAUUUUUCAAAUGUUACCGUAAGUCUCCUAUACAAGCCUACUACAGACAUAAAAGUAAGGAUUCUCACCCGAAGUCUGGGGUUAUAAUAUGAGACCAGAGGGGCUUUUAUUUGUGAUUCUGGAGCAAUGGAGAGCCUUUUAAUGCCUUCUACAUAUCUUUAUUGUUUUUGACAAAAGUUUUUGGUCCUACUAUCGCUCGCUAAUCAGCUGUGAUCGAGAUUGAUAACCGGAAAACCAUUUUGAUGUUGGGAUGAGUUGGAACGAGAUGCAUUUAACUUUGGGUAGACAAAAUCUUGGAUGAGUUUUGGCAUCAUUUUAUCAACAGGAUUAAAUCUUCAUCUUAUUAUAAUGCAGACAAAAUUUAAGGUUUUUAAAAUGAUUUUCGCCACAUCUACUGAGCAGAAUGUCACUGACAUAGUAAACCAAUCAAAAUGUUGCCAUAACACUUUUGUUUGUAGAGCAUGAGAUGCUAGAAUAGUUUGCAUGUAAUCUUACACUAUGAGAUAGAGGUCAGACAUCAUCAAUUCACUAUUAUCUGAUGCAUACUAAUUUGGAGUUUAGUUUUCAGUUUGUUUUAGCUUAGUUUUUUAAAAGACAUAAUAUAUUUAAUAAAUUAUAAAUGUUGGCUUUGUUAGAAUUAGUUUUAUCUUAUCACUGACAUCAUGGGACAACAAGAUAAUAUUUUAUUUUAGAAAGUUCGAUGAGUUUUGCCAGCUGAAAAUAAGAUUAUGUCCUUGUCAGAUAUUUACAGUAUUGACAAUGAAAUGAUGGAUUUUUUGAAUGACUAAUCCUGUGUUUUCUUGUGAUGGGUGUUCUCCGCACCUUCCAAUCCAGUUUCCCUUUCACUCUUAAUUCGUUGAAUUAAUUAUCUUGGUCUGGUGAUUAAUGCUAUUCCAAAUUAGAGCAUGGAUUUGAGGUUCCAUGCCACUCCAUUUUGCUGCAGUACAUAUUCCCUGUACUUGGACAAUGGAUCUAUUGUGUUUGUUGUCUCUAGACAUUAUUGGAAAAUAUUAUCUUUGAUCUGAAGAACAUUUCUCAAAGAUGACCUAGGAAGAUCUUUUCACUCAAAGGAUUGUGCUAGUGAUUAGAUCUUCAGAGAUAGGUAUAGAUGGCAUGUCCAUCCCUUCAUCAUUGUAUAGGGAUUUCAUUUGGAUUAGCUCUUCAGCUGCACGCCACAUUCUUUUUUCCUGCAUCUUAAUGUGAUGGUGCUGUAUCUAAAAUGCAUUUUAGGUUUCAUUUCUGUAUUUCACUUCCCUACCUAGUCAUUUGCCAUACAAAUUAGGUUCAACUUUGAGGAUUGAUUUUACCAGAUUGUGUUAAUUGAGAUAUCAGUGAGGAUGUUAACAAUAGAUAAGUGAUUCUGUUGCAUGGAUACCUGAUCCAUGCUAAUGUAGUUCAAUACACAUACGGGCAGCAGUUGUGGUGCAUUUGUGUCCAGUCAUGGUGGUAUUGAGAUAAUAUAUUAUUAUUAUCCAUGUUUUUACCAUCAUGUAAGGAAUUAUAUUAAUUGACAUAUUGUUGACGUUACAUACUUUGUGGUGCAUUUGUGUCCAGUCAUGGUGGUAUUGAGAUAAUAUGUUAUUGUAAUCCAUUCUUUUACCAUCAUGUAAUAAAUUAUAUUAAUUGAGAUAUUGUUGAUGUUACAUCCUUUUAGAGAACUGUCUAUUCGGUAGGAUUCUGAGAGAUUUUAUGAAGUCUGCAUUUCUGAAUGAGGCUGAUUAUCAUUACGUACAUUUGAUUUGCAUGAAGUAGAACACCAUGGAUUAUUGUUCAUGAAACAUUUCAUCAUCCACGACAUUGAUGCACCGAGUUAAGGGCAUCAUGCUACUUACUUUGGGAAUGAUUCAAAAAGACUUUGGAACAUUUUAUUGCAAUGGUAGUGACUAGAGAGAUGAACUAUUGACACUUGGAAAAAAAAAAAAAAAGGAGAUAUCAAGCAUAUAAGUUGGCAAUUGUUGCCAUAGUAAUAGUAGGCUUUUGUUUCUAGAUUAUAUUAAGGCCAUAUGGUUUAAUGAGUCAGCAUGCCUUGAUUUCUCUCUCUCUGCAGGCGUGGCAUCUCCAAGUUCUAUACCGGCAAAUCCAAAUCUUUCACAAGCUUUGUGGAUGCCAAAUCAUCUUCCUCUUGUAAGGAUCUUGCAAAAUCUGAAAAUGCUUAUACCCGCAAGCGCAAGAAUCUUCUUGCCUUCAGUGUUCUAUCAGAUAAGUCUAGCAAGCUAGGAAACAUGGAAGGGCGUAUUUCAAAAAGACCUGCCAGUUCCAGCCGAAGCAUGCUAAGCCCGAUCCUAAACAGUGCCAGCUCCAGCAGCAACAGCUUCAGCAGUGAAGAGGAUAAUGUUCUGGGUCAUCUUCUUCCUCCCCCUCACCAUCAGGGCAAAUAUUCUGGCGAUGCUACUUCAGCUACUGCUGUUUCUCUUUCAACUACUCCAUUCGGUUCCUCCCCGAUGAGAUCAUUCUCAGUGACAGAUCUCCACGGCAUCCUUCGUUCGUCCUCGAUUCAGAUUCAGACAAGGGAUGACCACAAAAAGAAUCAGUAGCUCAAAGAUGUCUCUCUGAAUUGAUUUGGUCCCAUGUCCCCUAUUUUUUUGGAUCAUGGGUUUUCAUCUAUCUGCUUGGUGAUUGUCAGAUGGUUGAUUGAAUGUUUGUACAGGGGAGGAAAUUUAAGUUUGUUUUUGCUAGACAUGAGAGAGUGUCAUAUGAAUGGCCUGACUAGGUCUCUAAUUUACAGGGGUCCUCCUGUCUAUCUGACUCCUUGUCCUUGCAUUUAUAUACUUGUUAUGCCCUGCUCUUCCAUAUGCUGCGUUAUCACCUGAGGAAGACCACUGACGUGGAAUGAUGCAUCUGAUGUAUGGUUUAAUUUAAGCUAUACCAUAUCAGGAGGUGUGGUUCAAUUUGCAUUUUUGUUGGUAAAGAAAAUUGUUUGAAAAGAUGUUUCGAAACUUCUAACCUUUGAUGAGUGAUAAAUUCGGUUCAUGAUAGGCAGAUCAAUGCUUUAGUUAUUGUGUAAGUGCAGCUGAUUCAAAAUUUUAACAAGUGCAACAUUUGAAAUUUUGAUGCACAAGGAGAGUUAGAUUACCUGAGUUAUCCAUGCCAAAUGAAUGUCAUUAGCACAUUCUUAAUUGGUUUAAUAAUAUUAUAAACGACAUAUGAAUGUUCGUUGCAAUUCAUGAUGGAUUAUAAAGGGCUUCGCGGAAACGAUAUUAAAAUGUUCUAAUGUUUCCGGUCUCCAAAUGAUACAAUUCUUAUCACAAUAAAAAGUCAUUGAUGCAUAAGAAAUCUGAAGGAAAUGAUGACAUUGAAAAUUUUGCUCCAGUAGGUUGAUUCAAGAUUCUGCCUCCAUUAAUUCGGGAUUGUCAAAAAGAUAUGAUACAUUCUAUAUGAAACCGCAACGCAAAUAGAAGAUGGAACCAUAUCAGAUGCGUAAGAUGAAAGUGGAAAGGAUGCAUGUGGAGGUAACAUGUACUACGAGUAGUAGUGAUAAGUCAAUAUUUUAUCCUUUCGGGCUGAGCAAAAUAUAUAUAUAUAUAUAUUUGAAGGGUCGUAAAUCUUUAGUUCAUCUAUUCUUGAACCAAAGUAAGACUAAAUGUACUUAUCAAUGACUCCCUAGCAGGGAGAGUCAAGGGCUCAUGACCCUUCAAGAGGAAUCCAAUAUCGCGGAGGCAUAAUGUCAAAUACAUCCAAGACAUGUAAGUCAGGAUGAUCCAAUCCUAAAUAAUCUUGGUCAUAAGAUAUUCGAGAGGAACAUCGAGAUAACCGGACAUAUCGAUAUGCUAUAUACCCGUCCAUAUGAUGAAGGUAACUGGUCUUAUAGCUGCCCGUGUGGGGACACUAUGGAUAUAGUAUAGGUGCUCAUUGGAGAAUAAGUUCACUAAUUGAUCCACUCACGGAAUACUGGAUGGUUGAUGAUACCUCAUUAUCAGAUAGCGAUUUCAUCGGUCCUUAAACUUUAGACACCAAGGAUAUCCUAUAUGAGUACUUCAUUCUUUGAUAUCGAACUUAUAGGUAUGAAAAUUCUAGAUCUAGCACAAUUGGUCAUUGGGAGUGACAGUCAAUCUUAUGAGAACAAUUGAGUGACUAUAGAAGAUCAUCCGCUCUCGGUAUCAUAAGAGGAAUAUCUUAUGUAUUCUUUCUCAAGCAAAUCCCUAGCUAGGGUCAUUCGGAUUGAAAGAGAAAGAGUUCUCCUAGAAAAUCCGAUUAGAGCGAGAUUCGAGUAGAUUCCGUAUGGGCUGACAACACCAUAUCAGGUAUAUGAUCUUUGGGAUAUUAGAUAAAUGAGGGACUAUAGAGACACGGUAACUAAGGACAUACAAGUCCAAUGGAUUGGAUUCUCUUGUAUCGUAUGGGGACUACAGCGUAGUGGCCUAGUACAUCCAUAGUCAAUGAGUUGAAUGAAUAAUUCACUGAGCCAGAAGGAGUUCUAAUAGGUAUGACUCACAACCAUAUUGAUAUUGGGCCAAGAGGGUCACACAUAUAUAAUAAGUGUUGCACCGAGUAGAGGUUUUGAAUAUAAGAUAUCCGUUGAAACUCUUAUUUUAUUGGAUAUCCAAUGAACUCCUUAAUUAUUAGAUUUUAUGGAUAAGAUCAAAUAAGAGCCAAUUAAAGAUUAUUGGAUAAAGAUCUAUUAACCCAAGAUGCUUGGAUAAUUGAAUAGAGAUCUAGUACUCAAUAUGACAAGAUUCAUUAUAGUUAAAUUGAUAGGGACCUCUAUAAAUAGCAAGAAACUAAAGGGAAAUAGGCUAGAUAAUUUUUGGCUGCCACCUCCUAUUCUCCUCACUCCCUCUCCUCCUAAGUUGAUAGCCCCAGUUUAGGGUGUGUGGAUAGUAAGAAAGGUCAACCCCUUCUUGAUCAUGUGAUGUGCAUGGAGAGGAAGAUCAUGCACCGAUUUGAGGGGUGUUUUUAUCACAUCAACUAUAUGGAUCAUCAUUAGAGAGGAGGAUAGUUGACCUCCUUCAUCCACUCCUAUAGAUCUAGGAUUUUACAGGGAUAUAUGAUUUCCUUAUGUAACAAAUAUGUCUUGAUAUGCGUGAUUUUCGUUUUGCGUUUUCGAUUUUACACACUAAUCUUCGCACGAUAAUGAAAUAUUUUUUUCUUUGUUCCUUUUCUCUAGCGGUGUCUUCAUCGGUUGAGGAUCCUUUAAGAGUCCUUUUUCCUUUAUUUGGAAAAUGACUUCAGUUCUAGUCAUGUUCAAAGGAGUCGACUUAAACCUUAGGUGAGGUAGCUCGGGUUAGUCUUUUCUUCUUCCCAAUGGUGACCUCAAGGUCAAGGUUUAUGGUAGUCGCUCCUAUCUUGGCUUUUUAUGUCUUCUCAUGCUUGCUUGAGAUCAUUGUCUUUGCGGCAAUGUACUGGUUGACCCUCUAGAGCAUCUUAGGUACCGUCAUCGGUAGCCUCUCCACCAAUGAUUAAAAAAAGCGAGAGAGCUUGAGCUCCAUCAUGAAAGCUUGUAUUACAAAUGACAAAUGAGCUUCUUGCACACCUCGGAUCUCAUUAGUGAAUCGAACAACAAAGUCAAAGAGUAUUUUUUCCUCCCCUUACCCGAGUCUAAGAAGUAUUACCACUAAUAGCCUCGGGCAUAUAUUUCCGAGGAAGUAGAGCUCAUACUCCUUUACAAGCUGAGCAAAGUAGUCGACCGGGAGUGACUUUAAGAAAGUGUACUAUUCUUAUACUAGGCCUCUUAAUGUUGUUAGGGAGGUACGACACAUCAAGAAGUUUGAGGUAUCAUACAAUGACAUUUGGUAUGGAAGACGAUAGUGUACUCUAUUAAGUUGGUACUAUCGUCAAAAGCCUCUAAUGAUGGGAGGUGAAAGUUUAUUGGGAUUAGCUCCUCUUGGAUGUUCCAAAUGAAUGAGGAUCGACUUGAGGUGGGGUCAUCCGGCCUUUCCCAUUUGGAUUGUUGAAAUUCUCGUUGCAUCUUUUUUAAGCAUUAGUCCAUUUGUCGUAGCUGAAUUCUUAAGGAGUCAUCCAUCGAAUUUGCUGACUAGGUCUUGGAUUUAGGCAGAGUAAAAUGAUAGUGCAGUAGUGCACUAAAUUCCACGGUUGGGGAGUGGGGCACUCUUUUGGUCGAUAGUUCUACGAGUCUUAGCCAAUCCUGAGAUGUUGGCACUACAUCGGACAGGGGCAUCCUAGUGAGUGUCGAGGUGUCGAGACUAACGAUCAGGAUUGAACAAGAGGAGGAGGUAGCCAUUGCAGUAGGUCCAAAAAAGCUUACAACCACACAUUAGUGCUCGUUCGGAAUCAUAUAUAUUAUUUAGUCACUAUCCCAACUCAGAAAAAGUACGUACAACUUUUAUUUUAGUGGAAAAAAUACGUCUCUUUUAGUCACUAAGAAACUAUUAACUGAAAACGUAAUAUUUUACUUAUAUUCAAGGAUCGUAGGUAAGACAUAAUGUGUACAAUCAUGACGCGUGAAUGAACGUCUAUUAUGCAUAUACAAUGCUUUCUAUUAUGUGUGGCCCCGUCAAGUUAGUCAUAUUGUUUGAAUAUUUUAUUUGAGAUUUGUCCUUAUUACAUGUAUAUAUUUAUGUAUUAGAGUUAAUUCUCAACUUAUAUAGUAUAUGCUUCUUUGUAUGGAAUGAUAACACAUUGCAUAAGCUCCAAAAGCAAAGUCAAUUUUGUUGGCAGCAUAAUGUUUUAAAUGAAUUUAACUUGUAGAAUUAUAACGAUUCUAAACCGAGAAAGAGUAAGAAAAGUGGGGAAAUGGUAGAUUAAGAACCACAUUAGGAGAAAUUUCAUGAAGACCAGUAAAAGCAAAGCUGGGUUUUAAUAUCUAUCCUUGUAUGGUUUGGAAACAGCAUUUCCUUGUAAAUUUGAUAAAGCAUAUCAACAAACGAAACCUCACAUUAUGUUAGAAAUAUUAAUAAUACCUUUAAUAUUCUUACCAUCAUAAUAUUUGGUUCCAUUUUUAUGGCUAAAAAAGAAAAUAACUUUUAUCUUUUUUUUUUCCAAAAAAAAACUGAAUAUAUUACUGUCUAAAAACAUGAACACUAUGCGAGGACCUCCAAAUUAGAGAUGUUUUGAAAGAGUAUGCAAAAUGUGCUAAUCAAUUACUGCUCUUAUUUCCUUCCCUAAAAACAUGACAAAAUUUGCAUUCAUAAAAAUAGUCAGACAAAUGCCAAAUACUCCUAAACAAAGUCAGCAGUCUCCAAGGUGGAUCCUCUUCUUCAUUUAACGCCUUGAUAAUGAGCUGAGAGUCAACUUCCACCUCUGACUUGGGAAUGCCAUCAUCACAAGCCUUCUGCAUCCCCCAUUUAAUCACCAUCAACUCAGCAGCCAGUUUGAGGCAAAAAUUAGCAUCCAGCCAUCACACAGCUCACCUCCCCUCCAAUCUAUAAAAUGACCCAUCAGUGUUGAGUUUAUAUCACCCUAUGGUAGGUUUAGAUCAGGUUACAUGCAUUCUGCUCACAACACUCACGCAAUAUCUGGAGAAUAAAGUUUUCAUUCAUUUAAGAAAAGAUGAUCUAAGUACAAUUCCUUUGUUCAUUUUUAUAGGCCCAUACAUAAAGAAAAUGGAAAACAGAAUAAAUGGAAGAAAAAAAAAAAGGCUAAUCAACUAAAAUAUAUUUUUUAUUAGGAAACACAAGUUUCUACAUAUAGCCUUCCUUCCAUUUAGCCUGAUGGUUCUUUCCCUUUUUUUUCUCUUCUUUGUCAAUCUAGGAAACAAUGAUAGAAAUGCAUGAGAUAAUUCAAAUGGCCUCUCUACUAUUUUUAUUUUUAUUUUUUAAAGCUCAUCGCAGCGAUUCAAUUAUGUUGAAAUUUUUCGUAGGAUUUUAUAAAAGAAAUAACUUAUGAAUUUAAUAUCCUAUUAGAAACAAUGACAACUUAACUUCUAUCAUGUAUAGUUUGGCCAGGCCACCUAAUAGGUAUAUGUUGUUUUCUUGCAUGGAGUAAAUUAGGUCAUGUUACUAAAUUGGUUUAUAAUGAAAAUGGAAUCAUGACCUGCUAUUAUUUAUUGUAAUCUAAGAAUUUUUUUUUCAAAAUGUAAGUAGUGAAGACUAGAUUCGAAUCCAAGACAUUGCGAUAAAUUAUCAAAAUCUUUACCAAUUAAGUUGAUUAAUAUAUUCUAAGUUCAAAAUUUAUACUAAUAUCUUUCCAAGAGAUAUGAGAUGUAAGCAAAAUUCAUACUAGCUAACACCUUCAAAGUUUUAUAUGUUAGGCUUGAAUGUUUAGUAAAGCGACAAUAGGAGUUUAAAUCGAUUUGGUUUUACUUAAUAAUCAUGAUUUAUAUUUAUUUUCCUAUUUAGUUUAGGUUAAAAAAAUUAAGAAUACAAGUUAAAGAUGGUAUGCAGUUAUCAAUUAUUUUAUUAUGAAAAAAAUUAGCAUUAUAUCUUGGAAGAGACUAUUAGGAUCGAGUCGACACUAAGAGGAGGGUGAAUUAGUGCAACGGAUAAAAACAGACUUGUCCUCUUCUUAAAGCAGCACUAGGCAUCGCUAAUUGGGAGAUCGGUAGGCAUCCUCACUUUUCCUCGACACCUUGCUAUGUUUCAUUAGUCUCCUUUGGGUGAUAUAAGAUUCUUCUAAAACCUUUAUACAUGUUUCAUGCGUAAUAUAUCAUCAUCGUUCGUCUUCUUCAAUCUCUCUUGCGGAUUUGGAGAGUAGAUGGGAGGUGUAGAGGGACUUCUCUUACGUUUCAUUGAAGUCAUGUGGGUUGGACUAAAUUUGGCCUGAUACAAAAGUCAAAGAAGUGUUUUGACUUCUUGAACCUUUGUUUGAAUUGUUGUUUGACUUUGGUUCAACUCAGACCUGAUUUCUACUUGUGGGCAUUAUAUAUUGAUUUAUGCCAAUUGUGAUUAUGCAUAUGAUUUCGUGACUUGUAGAACAUUGCAUUUAUUGUGGAACACUUAAAUAGAUAGCAAAUUUUGAGUCAUAUUAACAGAAUUAUUUUGGAGUGGUAUUCGAAAUUAGAAUAUGACUGGACUUUUAAUUGGUACAAAAACUGGUAUUUAAUUCUCUUAGGUACAAAAGAUUAAUGGAGAAGGCCAACAUCAGCUCUACUGUCACCUCAAGAAGUCGAGAGGAAGAACCACAGGUGGAGGAAGGAAUCACCACAGAGAGACCAGAUUGGACAUUACUACCACUCGAUCUCAUAACAAAGAUCAGCGAAGAACUUCCCAUCCCACACCGUCUUUGCCUUCGUGCCACAUGCACAACUUGGUAUCAUGCUGCAGUCUUGGACAUGGAUGUCCCGUCCCCAUGGCUCCUCAUACCCGAUCAUGAAAGUGAGCAAAGCGACUCUUGCACUUUCGCAUCUCUCCCUACUGGCCUCUUCUUCACGUACUCCCCUAUCCCCGAGCUUCGUGGCACACGUUGUGUUGGUUCUCAUGCUGGUUGGCUUGCGAUCGCCAAUGUUCACUUGGACGUCAGCCUCCUAAAUCCCUUAACAAGGUCUCAAAUCUACCUUCCCUCCUUCACCACCCUACCUACUGAUGAUCUCAUGCUUGAAUGUGACGUCUGGUCUAUGGACAAUCCAGCAACUGAUGUGCCUGCUUAUAACCCUUUUAAAGCAUUCCGCGAUCGCUUCAUUGGCAAGGUUGUCUUUUCCUCAAAUCCUACUAUCCAUAACCACGUCGCGGUGACACUCUAUGGUGCUUAUGGUGAUCUUGCCUACACGAAGGCAGGCAAAGAUGCGUGGCUUCUUCUUAAGGAACCAUCAACCAAGGAUCAUCAGUAUGAGGAUGUCAUGUAUCAUGAUGACAAAUUCUACUGUCUAUCAAAUGAAUGUGAAGUCGAAGCUUUUGACCUAAGUGGAGAUUGUCCCACUGCGGCACUCGUCGUUGAGAGAUUAACAUUUAGUGUUACAUACUUUCACGACAUACGCGGCUCCAAUCUCAGCUGUACGUAUAAAAAAUACUUAGCACGCUCGAGCACAGGAGAGUUGUUUAUGUUUCUAAGAUAUAUAAAUCAACCCGUUUUACCGAAUGAAAUGGAACUGCGUAGGCCAAAAAAAUUCAUGGUUUUGAGGGCUAAUCCCGAGACUAACCCUUGUUGGGCUGCUGCUACAAACGACUUGGGAAGUAUGUCAUUGUUCAUUGGUACCAACAAUUCCAUGUUGGUAUCAAAUGAGAAUUUACCGAUAGUACAUGGAGACGGUAUCUUCUUCAUCGAAUCCUACACAGUAGCAUUUGGCAAUGGCAUUGAACUACUCACUUCUGAUGUUGGAUGGUUCAAUUUGAAAGAAGAAUGUUCGGAUAACUACUAUGCAUCAUCUUGUCCUCAAUUCGACUUGGCAUCAGUCAUCUGGUUCACACCCUCACUACAGUGAUUACAAAAGAAAAACUGGUUCUGGUUGUCUUUGAAUAACCUAUUACUGAAUGUAGAGAUAUGUUGAUUGAUCAUUAUUCCUAUGAACAUUAUUAGUCUAGAGUUGAUUAACCAUCUCGAUGUUAAUUCAUUUAACUUGUGCUUUGUUGUGGGCAAGAAUAUAUUUUGCUUUAUAUUGGAAAUCAUAUUUGAUUGCACAAAGUUUCAAUGCCCUGAUUUGCAUGUCUUGAUGUGGCGUAGAAUAUGAAAUCGUAGAUACAACACAUAGCAAUUCAUUUUCCAUUAUGGAGAGACAACCUAAAGAUACAAUGGAACAUUGAGCCCGGAGCUUUGUUUAGGAUACUAACUAUACCGAUCCAUCAUUGUCGUUUUAUUGGAACUGGACUUCAUCAUUGGAAUUAUUUUAGCACUUAGAAAUUUAUGUGUUAGUCAAUAAAACUAGACGACUACUUAUCGCAGUUAGAGAGAGAGAGAGAGAGAGAGAGAGAGAGAGAAAGCACUUACGUUUUGAUCCUUUAAAAAUUAUGGUAUGGAAUUGAAACAAAGACUUGCAUGAUCGAUCGAAUACAAGAAGUCGAUGCAGAAUUCUAGGUUGAAAAUUUGGAAAAUUAGACCAUGUAGUAUCAAUCAAAUUCAAAGAAUUCAUAAAAGCAUCAAUGGACUUGGGACUGAGGUCUCUACAAAGUUUAAAUGGUAAAAGACACUUAGGCCAUUAAAAAUAUUAAUAUGUAUAUUAGAGGAUAGAUUGAUCGGUGGAGUUUCAUUUCUUUAAAAAAAAUUGUAAGGCGAAGAUGAGAAUUUUGAAUUCAUUGCUCUUUUUAAUGGGUCUCCUUGUGAAGUGCCAAGCUUAAUUUUUAAUUAUAAAAGCAAAAAUUAAAUUAUCCAGGUGCUUUGAUUGCCUCGAUUUUAUUCAAAGGGUUUUGAAUUUAUAUAAAUUUAACCUGCUAAAUUAGUAAGAAAACUAGAGUAUUUUUUAUCAAUUUUCUUAAAAAUUAAGAAAAUUAAAAUUACUCAACUUCGCCUACUUCGUAAAGGGUAUCAUUCCAUACAUCAAGCCAAGUAAUAGCCUUUGCCUUUAGACUUUUGGAGCAUUCAAAGUAUGUACUUCUUAUUUAUAAUUGAUUACUAAACUUCCCCUCUUUUUUAUUGUCUCUUUUUUUUUUAAAGAGAAUUAUUGCUUUCAAGGGGUUAAAUUUUGUCUCAUAACCCUUUCAUAGAUUUAGCCGAUUGUACUAUAUUUUUUUAUUUUUUUGUUAUCUACUCCUCUAAGUAAUAAAGGAUAUAAGAUACUUUAUACUUCAUUCCUUAGUCGAUCAUCAUCACUUCAAUCCAAAGUUCAUCACUUUGGAUUAUCUCAAUAAGAAUUUCUUUGACAUAGGCCUUAUGAAAUUCUCUCACAACUAUCCUUUUAUUUUAUCUUAGUAUUUGGAAUUUACUAUUAUAUUCUCUACUGCUUUGGCCCUCAACUAAUGUGUUCUCCUUUCAUAAAAGCAAGAGAUCAGGAACAACUAAGAAGUAUUACCUAUGUUAUACCAUGAUAUACCAUUAAGCUCAUGGCCCUAUUUCCAUUACUUCACAUUUGCAUCUUUUUUUCUCUAUGAUUGAUAGUUAUUGUCAUUGUGGUCGAGUGGCACUCUUUUUGGAGUCCACAUUCAAUCUAACUGAUGGAUUACUAGUAUAUACUUAAACAUACUACCCCUUGUCUACUAACGCACACAACCUUCAUCUGAUGUAAUUUUUAUGCAUGUAUCGAAAACCUACCUCUGUAAGACAAUGAUAUUCACUCCUUAAUUAUAUAGUCAUUCUUUUAAUGCAAAUUCAAUAUAUACAUGGAAGAUUUGUUUGUAUGAUUUCAUAGUACUUAUCCCUUGAGUUCAUAGUUUUUCUUAAACUGAAAAUUUAAUACAUGCACAAAAGAUUGAAAGUCCCUUGUCUGAAUGAUCAAGUCCCUGAUUAGACUUGUUAGUGUGUUGCUCUAUCUCAAAUUAUUCCAUCAUGAUCUACUACCCCUAUGUCGCUUCAUGGUGAUAUCUUUGUUGAAUUUUAGAUUUGAUUGUCAAACUACUUAAUGAAUUUGAAGAUCUAAUCUUUAGAGAAGUCAAGCGACAUAUGUGAACUUUGACUCAUAGUAUCAAUCACUAGAGUUGUAUGUUAUUAUUUUGGAUGAUUGAAAGUUAUAUUGAAAGAUCGAAUAUUAUAUAAGAGAAUUGGAUAUCAUAUCAGAGGAUUGGACAUAAUGUAGGAGAAUCGAAUGUUAUGUUGGAGAAGGAUAACUCGACAUAUCAAAAGGUAAGGCAAUAUGCCAAAAGACUAGAGGACAUGUCAAAAGAUUUAACAAUUCACCGAAAGAUUUAACAAGUUGAAAGAACCAUUGAUGUGUCGAACCCUUGGUCAAGUCAUUAAUACAUUGGUUGAGUUAUUGAAGCCUCAGUUGAGUCAUCGGGCCUAUACACAUUCUUAAUUAGGUCAUCAAUGAGUUGUUAUUUGGCCUCAAAAUGGGCUUUUAUGAGGAUAGGUUGCUUAAGCUAGUUUUCGUGCUAUUUUGGGCUCUUACUAGGCUUUAUAGCCUAGGCCUAGCCUAGGUGGUAGUAUUACUUAGAUAGGGAGUAGUAUCACCUGGCACAUUUAGAAUGGUCUAGACAAUGUUGAUUUAGUGGUUUGAUGAUAAUGUUGAAAGAAGUGAUAGUAAUAUCACCUUGGAACAUUUCUUAAGAACAAGGUUCAUUAUAUUAUAGUAUACAACUCAGUAUGGGCAAUAUGUACUAAUCCAACAGGGGAUCAGUAUGGGUGAUGCAUUAGCAUGCCCCUAUGUACCAUGUUAAUAUGCUUGGUAUGACUCUGUAUAGCUCGAUACAUAUCGUACUAAUAGCUAGUCGAUACACUAGCAUGGACUAGUAAGACAAACCGCAAGUACUUUUUCUUAAUUUGCUCUAUAUUCUUAGAACUUUUAAGAUUAUAGAUGCCCUAUUUAAGCUUGGUUGGUGGAGUAUCCAUCUUGAAAAUUUCAAGUGCUAAAUUUCUCUUUUAGAUAUUUGAGUUUCUUAUAACUUCUUGAGUUUGAGUUGUCUUUGUAAUUAAUAUGGGAGCUUUGACACAAGGAAUCUGAUGACAUAUUAUACUUAUCUAUAUACCUUGCCUGAUCAAUAUAACAACCAAGUUAUCAUCCUACAAUGAUCAUCACUCGGUACCUAUAGGGACAAUGACUUGACUCUAACAAAAUGGUCUAUAUUAUCAAAAGAAUAACUUGUUAUCCUUAGCAUUUGCACGAAAUACCUUAUUGAUAAUUGUAACAUUUGACGAUUCAAGGCAUAACAUCCUACUUAACAAUAAUUGAAUAUUUCGCAUAAAAGUUUGUAGAGUUAAUCCCCAUUAUGAUUUAACGACUACCCAAGCAUACCAAAAAAGGCCCCCAUGUGCAUUCUUGACUAUAUCUAAGAAAAUAAUCUUAGUUAUCUCUUGAAGCUUUCAAUAUUCCCUAGUAAUUUAGGUAUCUAAAGUACUUUUAUCAGACAAGCCCCUAUUGUAGUUUUUGUAGGACCUUCUAUGAAUCCUUCAUCUUUGUAGGGCCUUCAAUUUGUUCUCUCAUUUUCUCAAUAUCCAACCUGUGAUAAACGUAGAAGUCAUACCUAAUUUAGAUCUAAACACCCCAUUUAUCAUACAACUAUAAUAUGAUUUAUUAGUAUAUUAUAGAAGGUGUGAGUCAUUAGUGGUUAAGUGAAGGCUUUUUAAGCCUUAAAAGGAAAAAAGUAUAAAAGGUUAUUAAUCUUUACUUAUUAAAAGAAAAAUUACUAGUAAAAGCUGAUAGAGGAAUCACGAGUAGGAAUAAGUCAAGAAAAUCAAAUUAUUAUGCCUCUCUAUUGUUUUACCCGUGCUUUUCUCUUAUGUUUGUUUACUUAUUUUAAUUAGAUUUUAUAUAAUUAUUUUUUAUUUGUUAAAAUUUUAAAUUUUGUAGAAGAACUAAUCACCACUUUUAUAGUGCCACUAAGAUCCAAUGCAAAGGCCACCAUUAUCUCAAUACAAAUCAAUGAAAGCAAAGCAAUUUGAUUUAAACUCAGUGAAAGCACUAAGUAGUAUGAGUGGAGUCUGCUGAAAAGAUGAAAUAUGAAGUGGAAGCACCUAUUUCAUAGUGCUAUACUUAGAUAGAAGUCAAGAACUUUUACACUUGUAGAGGCAAUUGCAAAACCAUAUGAUUUCUUGCUUUUCUUGUUUUAAUGAGGUAAGAAUUAUCUCACAUGCAUCGUGUCUGAGUCAAAAGGAGCCUUGAGGCACAUGCAUAUGAUGUUGAUGAUGCAUUUUGGAGUACAAGGUAGGUUGAAGGGGAGUGUUUAUAUAUGUUUGCAAAGGGUAAGUCUUCAUAUAACCUCAUACAAAUCCUUAGGUUCUUUCGAAAUAAGUUAGUGAAAGUAAACACAAAGACAGACUAUUAUAUCAUUCUAAAAAAGCAUAACCUUAUAUCACAUAAGUAGAUAUUAAUUGAAAACACUCUGGUAAAUACAAUAGAAAGAUAGAUUUCGAAAAUUUAAAACGAUCACACGACAAAAGAGUGAAUGCAGCUUGGUACUCAUAAUUGAUGCUCACGAAGGCACAUGCAAUACCGAUUGUUAGUGAUAUGAUGACCUAUCUUUAGAUACUAUCGCAAGCCCCAUAAAAUCUGAUGCCACCUAAAGGGUUUUAGGAUAUUAAGAUAGCUAACAUUUUACAUCGCAUUUCUGCACAAGAAAAUCCUAACAAGUUUAAGUCGGGGGCUUUGUUUAUGGGAAUUUUUAUCUCUAAGUGUGUUACGAUUACAAACCAUAAAGAUCAUAAAAUUUAAUCAAACUUGAGUUAUCGAAGCUAAUUUAGGCCCCUUAUAUAUAUAUUCUGUAAGACACAUAUACAUAGAAAAGCACAGACAUUAACACCUUUGGAAACAAUCUAUAACAACAUGCUAACCUACAAAUUCUGUAAAGGGCCUUUGUGUUAUACUAAGAUUAUUCCAAAACAAGUUAGCUAUGGGAGUAGUAAAUCCCAAGUGGACAGACACAUGAUCACUAAUAAAUGGUAAAAACACCUAUUUACUAUAUUAGUUUGAUGGUGAUAGGAUAAAGAAAUACAUAAUUUUGUAUUCAAAAUUUUUCAGAAAUAACAUAUGAAUUUACUUUUGAUAUAAAAAAAAAUGGUGUAUGAUAGACCACCCAACCUAACUUUUCAUAUGAAUAGUUUGGCCACAUAAUAGGAAUCUACAGUUUUCUUGCAUAGAAUAAAUUGGGCAUAAGGAAAGUUUUAUAUAUUAGGUCCGGAUAUUUGGUAAGGCUAUAUUAUGAAUUAAAAUUGAUUUCGUUAUAAUUAAUAAUUAUGAUUUAUUUUGUUUCCAAUUUAGUUUAGGUUAAGGAUAGUAUGUAACUGUAGAAUAAUUUAUUGUGAAAGAAACUGAGAUUGUCAUUUUUGGGAGAGCUACAAUAUCCAUAUUAAACGUACCAUAUGGCUCCUCUCUUCUCAAACCAUCAUAGGGAGAAAACACAAGCGAUAGGAGAGAAGAGGUAGGGAUCCUCACUUUUGUUAGUUUAUUAUACCUUGCUAUGUUUCAUAGUUUCCUGCUUUCAUAUCAUGACAUGCAUUUCAUUGAUACCUUAUCAUCCUAUUUGAUGACCAAUAGAGAAUAUAUAUAAUAUGCACAAAUUGACCUAUUAAAUGGAAGGGAUUCAUUAUAAAACUAUUUUUGAUGUAUUUGACAAGAUGAUUAUUCUAGGAUGGUUUUGGACAUUCUGUCAAGCAUGAAUUUGUUUAUGAUUAUUAGCAAUUCUUAUGUUGAUAUUUUGAUUUAAGUCUUUCCUUUAUAAAUUUAAUUUUAUAAAUCAAUAUCGGUGAUUGUGCCAAUUAUGAUUAUACACAUGAUUUCAUGAAUCACAUAAUGUUGCAUUUAUUGAGGAACAUUUGGAUGAAUAGAAACAAACGUAUAGAGGGAUUUUGGGGCCAUAUUUAAGACCUAGAAUUCUCCUUUAACUAUUUUGUCUCUAAUAGUAUAUUAACCGAAUAAUUUUGUAGUUGUAUUCGAAAUUAGACUUUUGAUUUUUUCUCAUUCUUAUUCUCCACGUCCUACAAAACUCUCAAACACGAAAGAUUAUUGGAGAAGGUCAGCAUCACCUCUAUCGUCCCCUCAAGAAGUCAAGACGAAGAACAAUUGGUAGAAAAAAAAACCAUCGUGGACGUCAAGACUCGAGACUCGAUUGUUCUAACAUCCCCACAGAAUGUCCUUACAAUGAUUGGCAAUCAAAUUCUCGUUCCACACAAUAUCUACUUUGGUGCCACAUGCAUGACUUAGUAUUUUAUCUAUUGGGCUAAUCAUUUGUUAAAGAAUAGAUCAAAAUUUAACUUUUUAAGAGAAUUCGGUCAAAAACUUAAGUAAUUGAAUCUAAAUCUAGUCAAAUAGUUAAAAUACAGUAAUAAUCAAGUUUGAUCAACUUAUUUGAUUAUAAUAAAUUAAAUUAAUCAAUUUUAUAAUUGAGGUUACAAGUUUAAAAUUUUUAAUUUAUGAAGGAUAAAACUAUAAUUAUAUUAGGAUAUACGAAAAAAAUAUUUUAUUUAUGAAGAAUAAAAUUAUCAAAAGAACAUAGUUAGAAUUAAAAAAAUUUAUAAGGACAAACCUAUAAUUUUAAAAUUUUACCCUCAUAGUUGUAGCUAGUUCCAUCGCGUCCAUGUAUGUGGGUCGGUGAUGCAGUGAUUGCCCAUUGUUUACGUGAUACCUACCACCCAUGCCUGUAAUGGGGCGACUGUCCUCAUGUAGUCGAUCGAAGACCACGCCGACAGAAUGCCUCCGUGGUGCACUGCUAACCAAGCAUCGCCAAUGAAUCGUCCCACCGCGUAGCCAUGCACACGCGCUGACCGACAACCCCCAUAGUCAUCAUGGUACGCGAUUAUACCAGCACAUCCUGUUGUACAGACAUUGGGAACCAUGACCUUCAGCAUUCAAUUGAUAUUAGUCACAACCAGCAAGCUCUGCCAUAGUGGUAUUGCUGCAACCGCCACUGGUAGCGAAACUGUUGUAGGCACCAAACGUAGUGGUACUGCUAUAGUCAUCACACCCCAUUGUGCUUCCACUGGGUACACAGCUACUACUAGUGAUUCCUUAAUGAUACUGUUAUCGAUAGUAAACUGUUAAUCGUGGUCCAUCAAUCAAGCACAAGGAACCUCACAUUGCAUAGAAGCAGAUGAUAAGACAAACUAGAUAGAACAACAAAUCAACACUAUAGGUGAUUUGUUCAUGCAUUGUAAAUAAAAAUCAAAUAACACCUUUUUACAAGCAAAAUAUAUUAACAAAUGGAUCUAAAGUAUUUGAUUUUACAAACAUGGCUUUGAUACCCAUCGUGAGUAUAAAAACCAUCAUUAUGCUACUAUUAUAUGAAAAACCUUAAUGUUAAAAUUUAAAAUUAAAUAAUAAUAUAUUAAAUUUACAAUGUAUACCUUUCAAUAUCAUUUAGAAAGUUUUUAUCUGAUUUAUGGGUGCACCAUCAUUAAAUCCGAAAGUUAUAACGAUGUCGAUCUAUAAGGAGAACUAGACUCGUCUUUUUCUCUCCUCCUAUCCUUCAUAAGACUGCUAUGAGUGAUGGAUUUAAAUAUUAAAAGAGAUUGAGAAUAUAUCAGUAAUAUCAAUAACUAGUUGUAUUGGUUGUACUCAUCCCUAUAAAGUCAUGUUCUUUUAUAGGUGAGAACAGAGGAUUUAGGAUAAAUAAUUAGGAGAGUCCCUCCCAUCAAUAUCAUCCUUUAAGGAAUCCUAUCAUAAUUAGACUUCCUUUUUAUUGAACAAUAAUCAUAAUUAAAAUCUAAUCAUACUCAUUAUACAUUUUACCUAAUUAGAUAGGAUCACAUAAUCUAAUAGGAUAAUAUCAUUAAAGGAUCAUUUUUACGGGGAUGUCACGUAUCAUGAUGGCAAAUUCUACUGCUUAACAAAUAAGUGAAGUCCCUUUUAAUCUACGUAAAGUUCUACCCAGUGUGACGGUGUUGUGAGGUGGUUAUCAAUUUGUAUUCCCUAAUCUCUCCGAUUGUAAAGGAACAACAUCAUUAUUGUACUAAGGCCUACCAAUAUUACCAACUUUAUCAUUGUACCAAAGGUUAAUGUUUUUUGUGCUGUACUUGGAACAAAAAGAAGUUUCUCUUUAUUUUCUGAAUUUGCAUCUGUUUGAUCGAAGUUAGAAGAUAGAAGGGAAAUGAUAUGGUCCUGCUUCAAUUAUCAAAUCAUAGAUACAACACAUUGCAAUUGGUUUUGCUGUAUGGGGUGGCAACAUAAAGACACAUAUGGAUCACUGACCCGUUCUGCUCAGAAGCAGUGGAUGCCUUUUGCUCCUCUCAAAAGUAUGUGUUUUUGAUAGAUUUCUGUAUGUUCUUACCACACAUCAUUAAUUAUUCCAAUGACUACACUACCCUUGGAGUCUUAUUUGGUGAGAUUAGUAACAGGAAAGAAAUGAUGAGAUCUAUCUUGUCUCUAUAUACUUAUUAUCAUGCCAUUUUAUUUGGAAAAACCACUGGCAAUCAUCAUUGGAAUUAUUUCGACUCUUAGCAAUUUAUGUGUCAAAUAGCUACUGUUUCAUUUAACUCUGGUUAUCCUAGUGCUACAGGUAAAAAAAGAUACAUAUAUCUUCAAACUUACCUCAGAAAUUAUAGCAUAGAAUUGAAAUGAAAACUUGCAUAACAUAUCGAAUCCGAGAAAUGGAUGACCAAAAUGCUGGGUUGCAAAAAUGAAAAACUAUACUGUGGCUUUAUAACUCAAAUUUUGGAGAAUUCAUUGAGGCAUCAAGAGAGAGACUUUGAUUAAGGUCUCUUCAAAUAUUGUAAGUUGAAAGAUGAUCAGGUCAUUGAAAAUAUAGAUAAGUAGAUUAGAGACUGGAUUGAUCGAUCUAAUUUAAUUUGUCUUUAGAAACAUGUAAAUCCAAGUUGACAAUUUUGAAUUCAGAAUGUUUUUGGAUGGGUUUCUUUGUGUUAUACCAACUAGCAUGAACAAUAUAUUGAGUAAAUCAGACAAAUUGAGUAUGAUAGUAUGAACAUAUCUUAUAUAGUGUGAACAUCACCCGAACAUGGGUGAAAACAUCUUAUAUUCAUUGAGUUGAUUCAACCCGGUCCACUUCUCCAGAGUUGUCAUGUUUAAGAAUUAGAAUCUUGCAAUGGUUUGUCAUUCUCUCUAGGUGAUUUGAGAACUGUUUUAUCUUAUUAUGAUGCAUUGGGUUCGGUCGAUUCUAAGAUUAAGUUAACUUGAAGACGAGCCGAACGUAUAGUCGACUUGAAGACAUAUCGAACUUAGAUAUGAUCGGCUUAAAUAUGUGAUGGACUUAAGGAUGUGAUCGUCUCAAAAGAUAUAAACGAUAGAAAGUCACAAUCGACUAGAAGAUGUGACCGAGUUGAAGUUAUGAAAUAUUUGAGAGACACGACCAAGUUGAAGAAACAAUCAAUUUAGAGAAGUCGGUGUUGAUAUCAGUAAUGGUAGUAAGGGGAGUUUGUGAGUGAAUUAGUUCUAGUAUAAAUUUGACAAUCUUCAAAGGUUAAAAAAAAAAGGAAAAAAGUAGAGAACUAAUAUAAACAAGUAUGCGAAAGUGAGGUGCACAAAUAGAAGAUAGACACACCAAUUCAUAGUGAUGAAGAUUUUCUGACCUAUGUCGACAUCAAGCUUUCACUAUUUAUCUUAUUUCCAAUAUGUGAAUAUCAAUUAUCACUUACAACUUUUUCUUCUUCAAAACUUAGAAGUUUUAGACUUAGAACACUCAAGCUUUUACAAAUGUUUCGACACCUUCCAUGACGUAGCAAGCCUAAUAAAACUCAAAGCAAGUUUUUAGGAGAAGAUUUUCAACACUUGAAGAGCUCAAGGAUCUUUUUUUCUGCCAAUCUAAAAAGGAUAUUUAUAGGCGCAAGAGAUCCUAAAAACCUAUAAGAAUAAAGGGGGUAAGAUACUCUUUACCAUUGUCAUAUUAGGCAGUAUCACUGUCGACUUGAGUGGUGCCACUACUUGGCCUAACUGUCACUACUUGCCCUAGCAGUAUCAUCGCUUGAGCCUAUAUUAGCUUAGUACAAAAUCCAAAAGCCUUUUGGUUCCAACCCAAUAAUAAUAUAUUUUAGCCUAAUGACUCGACAUUCAAUCCUUUGUGUGUGUGACUAACCCUUCAGCACAAAGAUAUAUUCGACUCAUCAUAUGAACUUCUGAUUUAUUCGACUCAUCAAUCUAUCCUUCCACUCAACAACCUCAUCCUCCACAAUGUAUGCACCUUUAGUUAUUUAUGGACAUCUUGUUAUUUAUAUUUUUAUUCCAAAUUUCAAUUUUAUAAUUUAGGAAUUAUUUAAGGAAACUCACUAGGUGUUGGAAUUUGAGUAUCUGAUGUUGCAAAUCAAACUUAUUACAACAAUCUCUAUGUUUAAUGUUAUAAUUGUUUUACAAUUUUGGUUGUCUGUAAAGCUCGCUUUUUAUAUAAUCUGAUCAUUCCAAAUCUCAAUUAUGUUAUGAUUUUGCAGAAGUGUGAUUGGUUCUGAACUAAUUCACAUUGAAAACUGUAUUGGAAUCAGCAUACCAAAUCAUCAGUUAAUGAAAAGAACUGAAUUCAACAGUUUCCUGAUUGAAUACUGGUUUCCCGGUUUGCAUGGGAUUUGAGUUAAUGAAAUAUAUCCUAAUUUUCCCAAGUUGAUCCCGAAUCCAUCUGAAGUUGGCAAUAAUCCUAAAGAUCAUAGAUAGAUCAUUUAGCCCAAUAAUGGUAAAACAUCAUUAUUUCAUCCAUAAAGAUGACUAUAUUUAUCUUUUGACCCGAAUGAUCUCAAAAUCUUUUUCUUAACACAAAUGGCACAACUCCUAGCUCAAAAACUUAUCUAAAAGGGCACAAAAAAAGUCAAGAAUUCAUAGCUACUUUAUGGGUCCCAUAUCACUUAAUUUUUGAUAUUUAGGGGGUUCAUGGGAUCUAUAACUCAUAAAUGAGUAUAUAAUUGGGAUUGAUAAAGUUUUUUCCUCUACAAAUAACUCCUUUCUUUCAUUUUAAUUUUUCUUAUUUUUCUAUAUUAAAUUAUAUAUUAUUAUUUUUAAGGUGAAUUAACAACACCCGAUGAAAAAAAUAUAGUAUCACAAUUAAUCUCACAUCAAAAGUAAAUUAAAAUUAAAAUUAAUUUGUAAGUGUUUAAUGAGUGUACGACUAUUAACUUCGACUAAGUAUUUUUAGUCGAUUUAGAUUCAGUGAAAUUAAAAGACUAGUUAUAUUAGAAUCGGUUUGACAAUGACUUUAUAUGGUGAAAAAAUUACUUGACAUGCAUCAUACAAUAGUUUUGUGGAUGGACAUAUCAUUUGUAACAGUGCUAACCAAAGGUUCAACCUAAUAAUGAAGCUCCAACAAAUGCAAGGAUAGUGCAAAUUAAAUUUCUAUAAUGCUUAUGCUUGGACUUAAUUUGCAAUUGUAAUUCAUGAAUGGUCUAAAGCUUUCCCUCAGAGUUAGGAGAAGACUUCUUCAGGAGCCAAAAAUAUAGGCGAUUAAAAUGGCUAAACAAAAGUACAGAUCGACAUCUUGUUACAAAGAGGACCGAGUCACAAGGAAAUGGGAAACGAUCGUCCACAUCUUGUUUCAAACAGGACCAAGUCACAAGGAAAUGGAACCCAUGCAUGGCCUCUGGUUUGCUUGCUUUAUCCAUUCUCUUCCCCCCCCCCCCCCCUCCUUCCCUCCCUCCCUAUAUAAACACCCCCCUCCCUUCAUCCGUAAUCGGCCUAUCACAUCAGGAGCCAGGGCUCCAAAAUAAACAUCCUCCUUUCACUCCUUUGUAUCGCCAAUUUGAUGCACAGGCAUAUCUCGGAAUAAAAGAAUAAAAGAGAAGAUGUCGAAGGCCAUCUUCGGUGCUGUCUCGGCGGUCCUCCUCGUGGCCGCGGUGAUCGGAGUGGUAGCUACUGUUGUGAGUUCGAAUCAUAAGACCGAUGCUUCUGAGGGUGAUGGUUCACUUACCACCACGUCCAAGUCCGUCUCGGCCUUCUGCGCCAAAACUGACUACCAAGCCGACUGUGAACGCACCAUUGGUUCUGCCAUCAAUGGCUCUUCCUCCCCCAAGGAAGUCAUCCAAGCUUCUUUUCAGGCGGCCAUUGACGAAAUCCAAGCUGCCUUCCACCUGUCCAACAACGUAAGUUUGAAGGCGAAUGACCCGAUGAACAAGGCUGCGUUCAACAUUUGCCGGCAGCUCCUCGAGGAUGCCGAUGAGGAGCUCAAUGCUGCCUUCUCGGAGACUCAUGACCUUCAGGGUCUGGCGAGGAGGACCGAUGACAUCAAGACAUGGCUCUCGGCCGUCAUCUCCUACCAGCAGACCUGUCUCGAUGGCAUCACCGAACCGGAGCUCCAGUCCACCAUGAAGGACGGUCUAAGCACGGCCACAAAGGUCACCAGCAAUGCCAUUGCCAUUGUCGAUGAGCUUAGUUCAUUAUUAAAGUCCUUCAAGAUCCCGAUUAACAUAACCAUGGGCAGUCGACGCUUACUGGUCGAUGAGCAAGGGUACCCUUCGUGGUUCUCGGGCCAUGACAGGAAGCUCCUGGCUGCCCAAGCGCGAGGCCAGCUGACCCCUAAUGUGGUGGUUGCUAAGGAUGGGAGUGGAAAGUUCAAGACGAUCAACGAUGCCGUUAAUGCCAUGCCAAAGGAUUACUCUGGGCGGUACGUGAUCUACGUGAAGGCUGGGGUCUACAAGGAGAAUGUCAUCGUUGGCAAGGAUAAGGUGAACGUCCUCAUGUACGGUGAUGGAUCAAGGAAGACAGUCGUGACCGGGAGCAAGAACUACGUCGAUGGCGUGCAAACUGUUGAUACCGCGACCUUCGGUUUGUGCUUUCCUUACUUUCCCAUGUUAUAUAUGCUUCUACUUUACUACUGCACUACUGCAAUAGUAUAGAGCAGAAGGAAAGCUCAUGUUACUGGCAUUCCCCAGCUGCCCUCGGACAAGGCUUUAUCGCCAAGUCAAUGGGGUUCAGCAACACGGCCGGAGCAGAGAAGCACCAAGCUGUGGCGCUCCGCGUGCAGUCGGACAUGUCAGCCUUCUUCAACUGCAGGAUGGAUGCGUACCAAGACACCUUAUACGUGCAGGCCCACCGACAAUUCUACCGCAACUGCGUCGUCUCCGGGACGAUUGACUUCAUCUUCGGCGACUCCUCCACCAUCCUUCAGAACUGCCUCCUGGUGAUGCGACGCCCGAUGGACAACCAGCAGAACAUCUUAACGGCUCAUGGGCGAUCUCAGGCGAAGGAGACCACCGCGCUGGUGAUCCAGAACUGCCGCAUCGUCCCGGACAAGUCCUUGUUCCCGGAGAGGUUGAAGUUCCGCAACUACCUUGGCCGGCCAUGGAAGGCAUACUCGAGGACCAUCGUCAUGGAAUCUACCAUCGGAGACCUGAUCCAGCCUGAGGGUUGGAUGCCGUGGGACGGAGC